AAAAAAGCACAACUACAAAAUUUGAUUGCAAAGUGUAAACCUACAAUUUUUUUGGGUAAAACAUGGAUAGUAAAACAUACAAUUAAAGAAGGAGAUAAAAAGCGUUUAUAUUUCACCUGAUUAGUUUCAGAAUUUGAGUGGUCUCAUCCCCACCAGCCAUUGAAUCGUUGAUAUGAUCACAUGCAUUGUUUUUAGAGGCACACAGGAGAGGUCUAUUUAGCACAACUAGCGUGACAAACGUUUUGCUGCACUCGUAGCAGACACUUGUACGACCGAUCGGGAUGGGUGAUUUCUGUUUUGCAACAACUUUCUGAAAAGUUAUGAAUGAUCACCUUCAACUUUUUUGGCAUCUUCUCUUCCCUGGCAUAAAUUAUAUGUGUUAUGAAUGAAGCACCCUUCAGAGUUCAAGAGGAGCAUCUGAACAGAAUGAAAUCACUUUGUAGAAAUGGUAAUGAUGCUUUACAUCUACAUGCUCUUACACAAUAUGAACUUUCAUUUAUUCAAGAACAUAACACUACCCCAAGCUCUUAUUCUACAAGUCAAUUCAGUUUGUAGAUGCACGCCAUUGUAAAAACUUUUGUAUUAUAAUUUCUGAAAAUAGAACGUAACAUUAUUAAUAUAGAAUCAGCAAUGUAUAUAACUUAUCAGACAAUAUAACAAGCACUUGGUGAGCAUACAAGAUAAACUAAAACAAGCUUUAAACAUAAAAUUAAAGUAAAUCGAAUUGCAAAACAUUAGAAUGGAUGUUGGAAUUAAAGCUAAAUUCAAUAGUAAUUCAAAUGAAUCCAUUUGAACUUUGUAAAUUCCGCAGAACAAAAUUAAUUUGAGAGAGCAAACUCACCAAUGGAACAAGAACACAGGGGCUUCAACUUGUAGGAAUAAAAAAAUAUUGCUGGCCGGACAAAAAUUGACAAUAACGGCUACAAUACGAAUUAAAAAAAAAAUCAAAAUCUAUAAUUACAAGCUAAGUGCGAGAAGAAACUCAUAAUCACAAGCUUAACUCAAAAGAUGAAGGGAGAAUACGAUGAAGAAGAGGAUGGCCAGUGUUUUACGCCGUUCGCCGGCAACCAGUUAGGUUUACGAUGGUGGCUAGUAACACGGAGUCCAGCGAAUAGUAGCAUACCGAACGGCUCUUUACCGUCACGUGGUUAGUAACAUAUGUGACUGCAGUGUGGCCGUCACAUAAAAGGUAUCGGGGUUACAAAGUUAGUGAUAUACGUAAUGGCUGCUUUUGCAUUCACAUUAGGGGUCACAUAUACCCUAUUUUCUUGUAGUACAUGGUAAAUUCUAUUUGAAAAUUGCUAAGUAUUUUAGAUUUGUACGAAUUCAUUUUUGUGUGCUCGUUGGAUAAUAAUUUAUAAUAAAUUAAAUUUUUGGUGUAAUUUUCACAAUAUUGUAUCAUAAAUAUGUCUCGUUGAGAGGUUUUGAAAUCGUUUUGAUUGAUCAUAAUUGAUAUUUCCACAAUUGCAAAAGAUGCCAGAGAAAAUUUGAUUAUCUUAAGAAAUGAGUGUACGAGAUAUGAAAUCAACCAUACCAUAAAAUCAAAUUUUAUCGUGUCAUCCUUCCUAUUUCAAAUUUAUGGAAACAAUAAUCAAAUGCAUCCAUGAAUUAAUAUAUUUCGACAUAUAUACCAUCAAAUUUUUGCUAUGUCAUGCUUACAUAUAUAUAUAUAUAUAUAUAUAUAUAUAUAUAUAUAUAUAUAUAUAUAUAUUGAAAUUUUAUUAACACCAAUUGGGCCAAGCAUGUGUUGGUACUUGAACAUUUAUAAGUCCCAUCCUUGAAAAAAUAAGGCUUGGCUGUUCUCAAUCUAAUUCUUUUUGUUUUAAGUUCUUAAUUAAGCUUUCUUGCUUGUUUUCAAGGGCCAGUUUUGUAAUGAUCUGCAAACAUGAUUUGCAUAUAUUGCACUUGGCAUCUAUGCGUCACUUAUUAAUUAGAUUUAAAUUUUAUAAAUUAAUUAAGCUGAUUAAUACUUUAUAUGUGCACCAAAUGAUAGAUACUACAUAAAUUGGGAUACUAGUAACUACGUAUCCCAACUAUUUAAUAUUUGUUUGUCGCAAAUCCAAUCAUGGCCUGAUAUCCUAAAUAUUAUUUAGGAUACCAUUUCAAGCCCCAUGAGGGCUCUUUCUGUUUUUUUUUUUUUUAAAGUAUGAAAUAGAUGUAGAUUUUUCUUUAGAUAUUAUUAGUGAGAGUACCUUUGGUGGCAAUGGUCCAGCAUGAUUUGGGAUUUGACAAUUCCACUCUCAUCUUAAUUAUCAAAUGGAAUGUAAGUAUCGAUAAACUCGUCCAGUUUAUAUAUUUGUGAUCAAAAUUAGGACCAAUCUCAAACCACUCGCAAUCAUGUCCCAUCCUAACUAUCCUGAAUGUCUCGAAUGCCUCCCUUAAUUAUCAUUUUAAUUCUCGUUAACAUAUUAGCAAAAUUUCCAUAUAUUAAAAAUAUUAGGGUCCGACUAUCUAUACUUUAAAAAUUAUUAUGCACAAUCAAUUAUUUAUGCACUCAUCUAAUAAAUUUAAAAAAUUAAGUUUUACUUUCUACACUUUUUAAAAUAACAAAAACAUCUUUACGUGAACCUAAUAAGUUUCUUGAAAAAAAUUAAAUCAAUUAUUUUUAUUUAUUCAAAAUACUAAUAAAACUAUUCAGGAAAAUUUUUAAGAAAUUUAGCAUAUACAACAUUGAAAUCAAUUUAUGUUUCAAGUAAAUUCUUUAACACGAUUUUAGUUAUUACUUAUUGUUUAUUAAAGUAUGUGUUCACUAUUGUUUUUAAUUUUUUUUUUAAUCAAAAAAGAAGAAGAAGAAGAAGAAGAUGUUUGUGGUUUAAGAUACAUUUAAUUUUUAGUGUAACAGUUGUAUCAAACCAAUAAAAACUAAAAGAUCCAAAAGUCACAAGUUCCAAUACCACCCAAAUGAAAGGCCCCGUUAGGAUUGUUUUUGGGAAGUUCAAAAGUAAUUCUAAAAAUUAAAAACUAAUUUUUAGUGUUUUAUAAAUUUUUUUUGUAAUUACUUUUGGCAAAAUCAUCUCAUCGUACAAUAGAUUUUGUAAAAGUAGGGAAUGAAAAGUUUUUUUAAAUCUAAUUUUGAGAAUCACUUUUAUAUUUAAUCAAAUUCUAUAUAGAUAUCCUCAUUAUAUAAUAAAAAUCUAAAAUUAUCUUUAUUAAUUAAGAAAUAAAAUCAUUAACUUUAAAGAUAUUGUUAUUAUUACCAAUUAUAUUGAGAUAACAAAAUAGAGAAUAAAAUUUAAUAAUAUAAAAUAUUUAUUUUAGUUAUCAAUAAUUAUAUGUAAGUAAUAAAAAUAUUUUAUAUACAUGUUUGUAAAUGUGUAAAUACAAUUCAGUCAUUUACAUUAUUGUAUCAGUUUAACAAUAAAAUUUAUGAAACACAUACGAUAGCUUUUAAAACUAAAAGUACUUUUAAAAAUAAAUUUUACUAAAUGUUUAGCUGAUUCUCUUCACAAUUGAUCAAUUUCUACAACAUAACGAACUGUAAUUAUUUUAAAAGGUACAGGAUUACCAAACUGACCCUAAACCAAACCAAGAAAAAUGUUUAAAAGUAAUAAUAAUAAACCAAAGUAAACGUACAAAAAUUCAUGCAUAAAUUGAUAAUCAACAAAAACAUCCAAAAGUUUUACUCCAAGUUUUCUAUUCAAUUGACAUAACACUUAAAUUUGAAAAGGCAUAAUCAAUUUUGUGUCUAAUCCUAUAAAAUUAGAAAAUUAAAGAAUAUUAUAUUCUUAUAAUUAAAUAAUAUGCAAUUAAUAAUGUUAAAACAUAUUGUGAACUAAAAUGAUUGGGAGAAUUGGAGUUCUAAGAUAAAUUCCUAUCUAAUCCCAAAUCAACAAUUGUGAUUAAUUUCAAUCUUAUACUCCGAUUGCUUUUAAAAUUGGUCCUAAUAAUAUGGACAAAUAUCAUUCUGAUCAGUAUGGAAUCCCAAUCCCAUACCUUUGGAUUUCAAUGGUGUUUAGUUGGAGGGAGGAGAGGGGAAGAAAAUGAAUUCAAAUUCCUUUCACUUUUCUGUUGUUUGGUUUUCACAAAUAUAUGGGAAUUCAAUUUUUAUUGAAAUUUAAUUUUCGUCAAAUUGUGCAUUUUGGAUUCCUCACCGAAGGCUGUAAAAUUCAAAUUCUCCUCCUAUUAGAAAUCAAAUCUUCCAAAAUUGCUCCUCUCAAAUAUUUAUCAAUUAUUUUAAUUCUUAUCAAAUAAUUCUUAUUUAUGAUUUUAUUUUUUCAAUUUAAAUUGUCACCAAGGAGUCUGACUUACUACCAUAGAAAAGCAAAAAAUACAAUUUAUAGAUUAUGAUAAUUCUAUGUAUUGUAUGAGAAUUGCAAUCCAAAAAUUUUCCCUAGAAAACGAAUUUUAAUCGACAGCAAAUCAAUGCUUUCAAAUUUAGUCAGCUGAACUAAUUUUUGUUUUUUUUUGGAUUAAUUUUGAAAUGUUGCAUCCAUAACGAGCUGCUAUUGAAAUUAAUGUUAACAACAAAAAUAGAUGCAAAAGGAGAAACAAGCAUCAUGUGCAGUACCCACUGUGAUCUACUCACAUUGGAAUAAGCCGUUGGCAGCUGGUCUGUUUGGCCAUUAAUAUCUAUUUAUAACUAGGUUUUUUUUUUUUUUUUUGAGAAGAUUUAUAACUGGAAAUUACUCACCGUAAAAUGAUGAAAUGCUUUGAAUAUACCUCCUAGGUCGUAUUUACUAUACUAGUUAGGAAAAAUUACAAUGUUAAAUUAUUUGAUAAAUACUUAUUAUAAUUUGAAAAAUAUGUUAAUUUUGUCCUCCACUGUAUGAUUAAUAAUUUAUAAUAUAUAUAUAUAUAUAUAAUUCAUUCUAUAAUCUUGAACUUUAUUAAAGAUAAAAAAACUAUUACUCUAUAUGAUAUAAUAGUGUGAUGUAAUUACACUACUAUACCAUAUAAAAUAUAUUUACUUUCUUAAAUUUUAAUAAAGUCCAGGUUUUAGGGAGAACCACUUUAUAUAUAUGUAUAUAUAACGAUUCUCUAGUAACGACAUUUUCAUUUUAACAAAAUAAUAAUAUCACUAACAAACUAAAUGACACACAUUUUAAUACAUCAAUAGAUAAAAAAAAUACAGUUUUAUUGUGUUAAAAUAUAUGUCUUUUGUAUAUUAUUGAUAUUUUCACUUUAACAAGUGAAGGUCUCCUCACUAUAGAAGUACUUUAUAAAUAUUUUUUGUAUUUUUAUGAAAAUUAUUAUUUAAAACUGUUUUGUGUAUCUUCGACACAAUAAGGCUUAGCAUUUAAAAGUCAGCAGCCACGCAACUUCUUGAAAUCUUCGUGCAAGUGUUGGAUAUCGACUGUUCGAUAAUGAUGGCAGCAUUGGACUGGACUGUAAUUGACACAAUAAAAUUAGGAUCACAAAUAAGGAUGAAACUAUGUUGCAACAAUUGUAGCAUGCCACUAGAUUUUAUCUUUUUUUUUAAUUAAUUACACUGCACUACCUUAUAUUUUAUGAAAAAAUUGAAUAGACAUUAAAAGUUACAAAAUUUUAUAUAUAAAUCCCUUUUUUUGGGAUAAAAUGGCUUUUCAAAAACAUUUGACUGUUAUUAUUAGUAUUAUUUAUUAAUAUCAUUAUUAUUAUAUUAAUAAGAAUAAUAAUAAUAAUAAUAUUAUCAAAAUUUAUUAUUUUAAUUAUUAUGAUUAUUUUUAAUUAAGUCAUUAUUAUUAUUUAUUAAUUUUAUUACUGUCAUUAAUAUUAAUUUUAUUACUAUUGUUAAAAUAUAUUAAUUUUAUUAUUUUAAUUAAUGUUAAUUAUUGUUAUUAUUAUUUUAUUAAUAUUAAUAUCAUUAAAAUUUAUUUGUUUUAUUAUUUUAAUUGUUAUGUUAUUAUUAAUGUCAUCAACAUCAUCAUCAUCAUCUUUAAACUUUAUAGAUUUUUUUGUUUAAAGUAAUACUAUUGUUAUUAUUAUUAUUUUACCUUAAUUGAACAUUAAAUAUAUUUUUAUUUUUAUUAUAAUAAAUAAAAAUAUAAAAUAAAUUAUACUAUCAUAUUAUUUUAUUAUAUCAUAUUAUAUUUAUAUAAAAUAAUUAAUAUAAAAAUAAUAAUUUAAUAUAAUUAAUAAUAAAUUUAAAUAAUGUUAGUAUAAUAUUAAUAUAAAAUUAAUGCAGUACAAUGUAAUACCAAUUACCAAAUGUUGUACAAAUAUUAUUAUAAUUUAUUACUAAUGUAAUAUAACAUAAUACAAUAUACCUUUAUUGAAUAAUGAAAUACAGUAUAGUAUAAUACAAUAUGUGAAAUGGACCCUUAAUUCUUUGAGUGAUGAUAGUUUAAAGGGAUGUAGAGAAAGUAAAAAUAAUCAUGGUAGAGUCUUUUGCAGUGGUUGAUUAGCCAUCAUCAAAAAAUUUAAGGUAACAUAAUAAAAAUUAAGCAAUCACCCUACAUUUAAAAGAGUAAUUAGAAACCAAUAAAUUUACUAUUCAAUUAUUUUUAAUCAAGAAUAAAUAAUAAAUUAUCAUUACAGCAAGAUUCACAAGCUCAAAUAUCUAUAAAAAAAAGUUAUAAUUCUCAAGAAACAUAAAACUCAAAUGCUUUUGAAGUAUUCUUAAAAAAAUUAAACUAACUUCCUUUUAUGCUAUUCUUUAUUUAUAUGACUUUGUUGGGCUACAUUUAAAAUUUUAAAAAAUUAAAAUGGUUUCCUUAAAUUUCAAGAGUAAUAUUAGUAUUUUAUAGGUAAAUUAACAUAUUUUAUAUACAAAUAAACUAACAUGUCAACUAAUAUUAAAAACAAAAAUGUAAUAAAAAAGUAAAGUUUUGUAAUAUUAAAAUAAUAAAAUUUUAGAACCUAAUACUUUUUACAGUUCCUUAUUUUGAAAUUUCACCUUUUUUAUUUUAUAAUUUUUUGAAGUAUUACAAGGUUAAUAACCUAUAUUCUUUACACAUAUUUAGUUUAUUUAUUCUAUAUUAAAUAUAAUGGGUCCGCCUACCUUGCAACAGUUGCACGGUACCCCAAAUUUUAUAUUUUUCUAAUUCAGCUGAUGAAUCUAAUAUCUAAAGUGUUCAACGGUCAAGGCCGGCUCAACCAUAUUUGGGGCCCUAGGCAAAUGAUUUUAAUUAAUUCUUAUAAAAAAUUAGGGUAAUCUAUGAAAUUUUAAUUCAAUUAUAACAUUUUUACUUAUUGUUCUUUAACUCAAAUUACAUCUUUUUUACUACUCCUUUUCUAGAUUAAACUAAUUUUUCUAUUUUAUAAAGUUUUUCGAUAUAGUUUUAUUUCAAAAUAGAUAAAACAAGCAUACAAAAAAAAAGAGUAGAUGAAUAAAAGAAUAUAUUGAAAAAAAUAAGAAUAAAUAAAUAAAUAACACAACUAAUUAAGAGAAUAAUAAAAAGAUAAAAUCUGGAAUUUGAGAUGAAAUCAUGAAUUAACUUUAUCUUUAUAUUAAUUGUUUGUGGAUUUGAGUAAUGACCAAUAGCCAUAGAGAAUAGAGAAAAUUAUUAGAUUUUUUUCUUCUUCUUGAGUGGAAAGUAGAGGAAGCAUGAUUUUUUCCCUCUCUCUCUUUCUUUCUCUCAAACACUAACAACAUAUCGUGUCUUGAUUAUUGGAGGAAAAAUUUAAUAGAUAAGUAAUAAAAUAUGGGGUUUUUAUAGAGGUUUAAAAUGAAUAUAAUACUUUUUAAUUAUAACAUAUUAAUUCUAACAAUUAAAUAGAGAAUUUGUAGGAUUGAAACUAUUAAUUUAUUGGUUUUGUAGGAAUUAAAACUACUAAGUACUACAUUAAAUAAACUUUAUAGAAAUUUGAUAGUUUAUUUAGGAAAAAGAUAAUUACAAAAUAAUAACAAAUUAAAUGCAUAAUAAUGACUUUUAAAUUCACUUUUCCCUUUUAUAUACAAAAUAAUCAUCUUACGGGGCCUUAAUGUAAAGUGGGGCUCCAGACAACCGCUUAAGUUGCCUAGAGGUCGAGCUGCUACUGUCAACGGUUGAGAUGUGUUCAAUUGGUUAUUAACACUUAAGUCUCUACUGUUUAUUAUAAUAUCAUAAAAACAAAAUUUUUAAAAUAUUUAUUUAUAUAACUCCUAUUGUUUUAAGUUUUUUAAAGUUUGAUCCAUUAGCCAAGCUUGAUCAUAAAAAUGAUUGAUGGUGUAAAGAUAAUAAUGUAAUAUCACAUAAAAUUUUUUUUAAACACAUGAAAAAUUGAUAAAUGUAAAUAUUGUUUUUUUUGGUUAUAUAAUAUAUUAACUUUAUUAUUUUAAUUAAUGUUAAUUAUUGUUUUUAUUAUUUUAUUAAUAAUAAUAACAACUAAUUUGUAUUUUACUUUUAAGGUUGAUUUGAUAAAUUUAAAUUUUUCUUUACAUUAACAUAUCUAAGAAUAUUGUUGCAAGCAUGUUAUUAUAAAAUCAAAGAAAAAUUAAGGGUAGGAUUAUAUUGUGCUUACCGACAAAGGUGUCUUGAGGGACUAAACGGUACUUCAUUCAAAAUAUAGAGACUGAACAAAUAUUUAUCAUUAUUUAAGCUGAAAUAGUGCAUUUUAACUAGUCCCGGGUUUGAUUCAUUGUAAAUAUCAUUUUCCUUCAUGAAAUACCUAUAGAGAAUCAUAAAUUUUGGAGAAAAGGACGUUACACCUAAGUUUUGGGAAAUAGUCAUGUAGACCCCUAAAUUUUUAAUAAGGAAUACGAAUACCUCUUUUGACUAUAAUACAUUUUGACUCUAUUAACUCAAAAAAUUGACUCCUAUGUUUUAUAAUAAAUAGAAAUAUAAUAUUGAAAUAAACAUAAAAUAUUAACAUUUUAAAACAACUUCAAUUUAGGAAAAUAUUUAUAUACUUAAGAAUCUUAUAUUAUAUUAGACUAAAUUUUAUAAUAAAUAAGAACAUAAUAUUAAAAUAAAUUUUAUAAAUUUUUUCAAUAUUAUAUAAAAUAAUUUCAAUAUUAUUACUACAUGAGAUAUAUUUUAUUAAUGAGAUGUGUUUUAUUAAUUUUAAAUUCUAUUUAACCCCAAUGAUUUAUUUGAUAUUUUUAUGAUAAAUAAAAUAUAUUAUUAAAAUAAAUAUAAUGUUUUUAUUUAAAAAAUAUUUUAUAUAUUAAAAAUAUUCUAAUAUUAUUAGUCUAUUAGACAGAUUAAACUAUUUAAGUUAUAUUUAUAUUUAUUAAAAAAUUCUUAAAGUCAUUUUUUUAUUUACUAUGUACAAAAAGUAUUAUAGUCAAAAAGAUAUUUUGGUUACUGAAAAUUGAAAGAUUUACGUGACCAUUUCUUUAAAUCUUGGAGUAUAGGUGUCUUUUCCUAUAGAUAUUAGAAUAAGGGCUACAUGUCUAUAUGUAAAUAGCAAGUAGUGGCGGACCUACAGUUGGACUAGACUGGGUUGUAGCUUGGUCUAGUACAGAAAAAAUCAUUUAUACACCUUGUUUUCUUAUAAUUUUUUUAUAAAAAAGAGUUUUUAUUUUGUUUUCAUAUAUGUCCCUAACUCAAGUAUCCUUAUGUUUUCAUCAAUUUAGUUUAACAAUAGAGUUUUUACUUUAUAUUCAAAUAUUUUCCUAACUCAAUUACCCUUAUAUUUUCAUCAAUUUAGUAUAACAAUUGAGCUAUUAUUUUAUAUUCAAAUAUAUCCCUAAUUCAAUUGUAUUGUUUCCAAUUGAAAUUAGUGACUUAUUUUAUAAAUUGAUUAAAUUAUAUACUCAUUGGAUAGAUUGAAAACAUUAGGGAGCUAAAGUAUUAUUAUCAAUUUAAUUUAUUUUAAAAAAUUUCUAAUUGAAAAAAAUAUAAAUCAAUGUAAUAUAACAUCGUCACUAGCAUUAAAAAUACUUACGAAAACAAUAUAUAGUAACAAUUAUCAACAUUUUCAUAAACAUUUUAUGUGAUUUUUUAGAUUCUAUUUAUUAGUUACAUUAACUACGACAAGAAGUUAGAAUAUAAAAUUUAGGUAUUUUGAGGAGCUUUAAUAGAAGAAUCAUCAACAUCUACUUCUAUAAAGAAAGUCAGUGCACUGGCAAUGAAACAACGAUAUCCAAAUAACUUUUUGUUGAAUUGAGUUUAGUUUAUUACUAAAACUUUUGACUAAUAAUACUUUUAUAAUUCGAAAGAAUGAAUGAAUUUUAAUUUUUAAAUUUAUUUAAACUUGGUAAUUUAAUACUUGACUUCAAACAUAAAAGUUUUACUUGUAAUCUUUAAUUAAUUUUAAUUACAUGUACUGAUCUAAUUUAGUUUGAAAUUCUUAAUUGAUUUAUUAAUCCUUAUAUAAUUACAUGUUAUUAUAGUUGCAAUGUCGGAUUCCAUAAUUGAAAAAUAGUGUUUUGAUAUUUGAAUUGCCUUUUGGUUUCUAUUCUUUUCUUAUAAUUAUUUUUGUUUAUAAUACAUAUUCAUAGGGAUAUAGCUCUCCAUGUCUCCCCUCAUUUAAUAUACUUCUUUUUACUUAUAAAUUUUUAUGUUCACUUCAAAAUAUAAAUUUUAAAAUUUAACCCAAAAUAAUAUUAAGUCCUGAAUCCGCACAUAUAGCAAGUUAAGUCACAUCCUUUUAUCUUUUUAUUUUCAUUUUAUAAAUAAAUAAAUAAAUAAUGCAUAUUGAAUUAGGAUCACGCGUCUGAAAUCUUUACGUGAAGAUUUUGUUAAACACCGUGUAAAAAAAUAAUAUGAAUAGUGAAAGCUUAAUAGUAAAAAAAUAAUAUGAAUAGUGCAUUGCGAUCUAUCAAUCGCAAUGCACCGAUGAUUGCAACAAUUAAAAAUCUUGAAAUAUGAUUAUUAUACAAAACGAAAAUGUACAACCACUCAUGAAUUAGAGUUAUUUUUUUUUAGAGAAGAUAAUUCGGGUUUUUAAGAUAGGUUCUUUUUUUAAAAAAAUUAUUAUCCUGAGGAUAUUUGAAUAAUAAUUUUUUAAAUUAAAAAAAUAAAUUUUAAAUAUAUUUUUGUGAGUUUAAAUAACCUCAUUCCCAGCAUAACUACAUGAGCUACGUAGUGCUUAUUUAUUGACAUUAAUAAACUGCAUCAAUUUAUACAAAAUACUGUUUUUCUUCUUCGUUUUUCUUUUUGACAUGUUGUGCUAAUGCUGUUUGUUGGCCUAGAUGGCGAAUAAAAAAUAUGAUAAUAUAUGCUAUCUACAAGCUUAAUUAUGAACGAACAGUUAAUAAUUACCCCAAAGUUCAUAUUUUAUAAUAGGUGUAGAAUCUUUUCACUCUAAUAAGUUUAUCUUCAAUUAUUUAUCACUAGUUUAGUUAAAUAAUGCACGUCAAUGUUGAAUUGACAUCCGCGAAUAUCACCUUUGCACUUUUAAAUCAAAUAAUCAAUGGCCAUCAAAUGAAGCGAAAUAAAUGGUUAAACUAAUUUAUGUUAAAACAAAUUAUUGUUGAAUAGAGUAGUGAUAGAUGAUAUCCCAAAUUUUUGGGUUCCUAAGGAAUAAUCAUUGUCAAAUUAUUAAACCGAACCUUACAUUCAGGAAUGAUAAAGAUUGAAGACCAAUAUCUGCAACAUUAACUCUUGUCAUACAUAAGCAAGAACAAAAAAAAUAAAAAAUCAUUGAAUUAUAUUAAUACAUGAAACAGAAAGGCCAAAAAUUAAACCCAAAUGAAUAUACAGUGAAAGGAAAUCGCAGUUGUAAUGUAACGCAUAUUCACAAAAGCUUUGUUGAUGAAGUCUAGUACUCUAAUGAUACUUUAUAAUGUGGGGGCAGAGCAGUAAAUUUCAAAGAAAUAAUUUUCUCUUUUGAUGUUUUGUCGUUAUUGUUGACUGAGACGAGAAAGAAAUAAUUGCUCGUUUGGAUAUUCUCUAUAUUGUAAAAGAAUUGCUUAUUAGAAUUGCUUAUUAGAAUUGCUUCAAAGCAGUUUUACCAGUUAUAAUUCAUCAGCUCCUACUCUUUGCGUUCAAUUCUCAAUCAAGAAACCCUCUCCUGACUUUCAGCUUUUAACCUCGAACACGCUCUGAUUCUGUUUAUUGUACCCACUGCUAUUGCUAGCUGUUCCCUUAUUUUGCUUUGCUCCCUUCUGCCAUCAGCUCUCUGUAUACUCAUUGGAUCAAGAAGCCCUUUUCAAUUUUCUGAUCUCAACAACACUUUGAUUCUCAUCUAUUACACUGAUUUUUUUUCCUUGUUUUGCUCAAAUACAAUUUCUCUCCCUAAUUUUGUCCCGUUCCCUUUCGCCGCCAUCUGUUUGUUCUUCGCUUCUUCAUUGAUUAACAAUUGUCCAGUCGUUUCACCUGUUCUUUUUCUGUUCCUUUCACUUCAGAUCAAUCCAUCCUCGCACAACCCCCCCCCCCCCCCCCAAAAAAAAAAAAGAAAAAAGAAAAAAGAUUGAAGGUGAUGGAAUGCAUUGUUACUGUCGUUUUAGAGGUUGUAAAAUGCUUGGCUCCUCCAACACAACAACAACUUCGUUAUUUGCGUAGUUCCAAUGCCAACUUUGAGAAUCUCAAGGCUGAAAUCGAGAAUCUUAAGGAUAAAAUUAGGAGCAUUCAGCGCAGAGUCUCAGAGGCUGAAAGAAAAGGAGAAAAGAUUGAAGAGGAGCUUGAGAAAUGGCUGGUUAAUGCGAAUAAGAUCAUUGAGCAUGCAGACAAAUUCAUUGACGACGAGGAGGCAACAAAUAAGCGAUGUCUCAAGGGUCUGUGUCCUAAUCUGAAGACCCGCCAUCAGCUUAGCAAGAAAGCAGAGGCAGAGGUGAAGGCAAUUGUCAAAAUCCGAGAAGAAGCUGGGAGAUUUGACGAUAGAAUUUCCUACCGUACGAUUCCGGAGGAGAUAUGGCUCAAGUCUCACAAAGGCUACGAGGCCUUCGAGUCAAGACUUUCUACCUUGAAGGCCAUACAAAAUGCAUUGAUCGAUGUUAAUGUUAGUGUCGUUGGGGUGUACGGCAUGGGCGGCAUUGGAAAGACGACACUGGUGAAGAAGGUCGCCAGGCAAGCUAUGGAAGAUAAACUCUUUGAUAUGGUGGUCUUUUCAGAGGUUUCGCAAACUCCAGACAUAAAAAAGAUUCAACAGGAAAUUGCCGAGAAGUUGGGCCUGGAGUUGCACGAGGAAGUUGAAUCUGGAAGAGCAAGUAGACUAUUUGAGCUAUUGAGAAAUCACAAGAAGAUCCUUGUCGUUUUAGAUAACAUUUGGAAACACCUUGAUUUGGAGACAGUUGGAAUUCCUUUUGGAGAAGAUCAUAAAGGCUGCAAACUACUGCUGACGGCAAGAGAUCGUAGUGUCCUCUUAAAAAUGGGUUCUAAAGACAACUUUUUGAUAAACAAUUUAAAUGAAGAAGAAGCCUGGAGAUUGUUUAAGAUGAUGGCCGGUGAUGAUGUUGAAAAUCGUGAGUUGAAAUCUACAGCAAUAGACGUCGCCAGGGCAUGUGGAGGUUUGCCCAUUGCCUUGACUACAGUAGCAAAGGCACUGAGAGGCAAGAGUCUGUAUGAAUGGAAGAAUUCCUUGCGAGAACUCCAAACGCCUUCAAUGGUAAACUUCGAAGGGGUAUCUGCAGAGACUUAUUCAAGUAUUGAGCUCAGUUUCAACCAUUUAAAAGGUGAGCAGCUCAAGAAAAUUUUUCUGCUCUGUAGUCUAAUGGAGAGCCAUAUUACUUUGGACUUGUUUAAGUACUCCAUGGGUUUGGGUAUAUUUAAAGGAGUCAAUAAGAUGGAAGAUGCACGAGACAAAUUAUAUGCAUUGGUCCAUGAACUUAGAGACUCUUGUUUGUUGCUUGAGGAUGAUAGCAAUGAACGAUUUUCAAUGCAUGAUGUUGUUUGUGAUGUCGCAAUAUCAAUUGCAUGCCGCCACCAACAUGUGUUUUUGGUGAGAAAUGAUGAGGAUGUGUGGGACUGGCCAGAUGAGGAUGCACUUCGAAAAUGCAAUGCUAUCUCUUUAAUAAAAAAUAGUAAUUGUGAAUUUCCUGAAGGAUUAGAAUGCCCAAACCUUGAACUUUUAUAUAUUUCUCUCAAAGAUUCUUCUCUUGAAAUCAAUAUUCCUGAGAACUUUUUUGUAGGGAUGAAAAAGCUUAGAGUUCUAGAUUUUACUCGAAAGCUGUUUUCUUCAUUUCCAUCUUCAAUUGAUCUUCUAGUAAAUCUUCACACACUAUGUCUGGAUCAAAGUGCGUUGGGGGACAUAGCAAUCAUUGGGAAGUUGAAGAAUCUAGAAGUCCUUAGCUUUUUGAUGUCUGAUAUUAUGCAGUUGCCAGAAGAACUAGGUCAAUUGAAUAAGUUGAGAUUGUUAGAUUUAACCAAUUGUUUCCAUCUAAAAGUUAUUGCGCCCAAUCUCAUAUCAAGCUUAACUCGAUUAGAAGAUCUGUAUAUGGGUAAUUGCUCCAUUGAAUGGGAGGUUGAAAGAGCCAACAGCAAAAGAAGUAAUGCUAGCCUUGACGAAUUGAUGCAUUUACCUCGGCUAACCACUCUAGAAAUUGACGUUAAAAAUGACAGUAUGUUACCAGAAGGUUUUUUGGCCAGAAAGCUCGAAAGGUUCAAAAUAUCUAUUGGAAAUGAGUCAUUCAUGCCUCCCAAGAGUGUUAGACAAGCUUGGUUUAAAAGUCGGCCGCGCUUUUCGAUCCACAGUUAUCGCAAGAGUGUAAGAGCAUUGAAGCUCAAGCUUGAUUUUAUGGACAUUUGCUCCAUGAAAUUGCAGGGCAUCAAUAACGUUGAAUACUUAUGGUUGGACAAGCUGCAAGGCACUGAGAAUGUUCUUUUCAAUUUGGACACGGAGAGCUUUUCACAAUUGAAGCUUCUCUGGGUUCAAAAUAAUCCUGACUUCUUUUGCAUCGCCGAUUCAAGGGCGAUGGUCGCUUGUGAUGCCUAUAGCUUAUUUUUAACUUUGAAAAAUAUGACAAAGCAUCGAUAAAUUAAUACUCAAUAAAUUAAAAACUUUUAUUAUACAAUAAUCUUUGCUAGUCUAGACUAAGGGAUCAAUGUGGUAGAUUAAUAAUUAUAUGAACUGUUUUAGGUAUAGCAUUUCUAAAAGAAUCCUUAGUCUUUCCAUAUAAAAGAACUUACAAAAUAAAUUAGUAAUUUAUUAUUGUGCAAUAAAAUAAUUUCGUUUUUUUCCCUAAUUUCUUUUUUACCUCUAAAAUUAGCAUAUAAAAAAUCAUUUAAUAAAUUUUAUCAAUAAUUCAAUUUUUUUUUUAAAAUAUAAUAUAAAAUAAAUACUAUAAAAUCACUGUGUGUGACCAUAGAUCAUCAAUUGACCUUAUUAGUUAUUUUGAUUGAUGAUGAUAUCUUACCCAACUUGACGGCACUAUCACUAAGUGGAAAAGAUGUGAAGAUGAUUUUGCAGGCCGAUUUCCCACAACACCUUUUUGGCAGUCUUAAACAACUAGAGAUUGUUGGAGAUGACUCAGCUUGUUUUCCAAUCUGGAACGUACUGGAGAGAUUUCACAAUCUCGAAAUACUCAUACCGUUUUUGCAUUCCACGAAGAGGUAUUUUGGAUGGAAGGAUGCUUAGAGAAACAUGUGGGGAAGUUGGCAAUGAUAAAAGAAUUAAAGCUGCACCGGCACUAUCAUCUGAUGCAGCUGUGCAAACAAGACUCCAAACUUGGCCCCAUUUUUCAGUAUCUUGAAAUUCUAAAAGUAUAUAAUUGUCAAAGUCUGUUAAUUCUAUUGCCAUCAUCAUCGGUAUCUUUUGGGAACCUAACAAAACUUGUAGCUUUCGAUUGCAAGAAAUUGAUACACUUAGUAACAUCCUCCACAGCAAAAACUCUGGUGCGACUCGUAACAGUUCAAGUAUAUGGAUGCAGAGCAAUGACAGAGGUGGUAAUAAAUGACAAAGACGGGGUUGAAAAAGAAGAGAUUGUUUUCCGCAAAUUGAAGACGUUGGAUCUGCGUGAUUUAGAUAGCCUCACAAGUUUCUGCUCUGCCAAUUACACCUUCAAAUUCCCAUCUUUGCAAGAUUUGUGGGUGAUUGGUUGUCCCAAGAUGAAGAUUUUCACUACAGGAGAAUCAAUCACGCCUCCAAGAGUAAAUGUCCGGUAUGGAGAGACAGCGGAUCAACGGCGCUGGGCUAAUAAUGAUCUAAACUCAACCAUACAACAAUUACAUGCUGAGAAGGUACGUAUAUACAUGUAUAUACAUCUUUACAAAAUUUGCUUUCUUAAAUACAAUAUAGAUAAGAUAUUUGAUGAAUAAGAAUUUUACUUUCAGCUGUUGGCGGUGCAGUCGGCGAUCUCUACCCAGUACUAAUUUCAUAGGCUUCUUAUGACUUGGGAGUUGUGAAUUUUUAGAAGAAAGCCUCAGCUGGUAAUUAAUUUUUAUUUCAUUUAUUUGAUCUCAUGGCUUGUUUCGCAAUUUCAUCUGAAUUAUUUAGAAUGGGUCAAUCGGCUUACUGUUAAAUUUGGAAUGCAAUUUUAAUGAUUCGUUCAGACUUUUGUGGACAGAUUUUGCAUCAUUGAAUGUCUUCUAGUCUAGUUUAAUUUGAGUAUUUUUUUUCUUUUUUUCUUUUUUUGAGAGUUCCCCUUGUUUUCUAAAAUUUUAUAAUUCCUUGCAUACUUUGUAUGAUAAAAUUUCAUUAAAAGCCUUCAUAUUUUAUAAUUCCUUGAAAACAUCAUUGCUGUUCUGUUAUUUUAGUUUGUUCAUUUAGUUUGGUUUGCUUCACACCUAUCUUUGUUUGGAAACUUUUUUUUAUUUUUUUGAUGAUCUUUCCAAAUGCUCUCCCCUAUGAACACAUAAUUAAGACCAGCUGAAAAUCAUUCAUCGGAUAAAAAAUAAAAAAUAAACAAAAUCUAAUCAGAGCAUUAUGCCUAGAACAAAUCCUUAGACCAUCAAAGCAAAACUCUUCGCUAUGAAAAACUAUAUUGUGGAAAUAUUGUUUGAAAACGUUGGAUACCAAGAAAGGGACUAAUCUGGUCUAGUUUUAUGAGAAGUGCAGAAGAACAGUAUUUUCUCUGUUGUUCCUAUUAAAAUUCUUUACUAUGUGAUUGUAGAAUGUCUGGAUACUGAUGAAGAUUCAGGUAACUCUUCUCCUGUGCAUCAUUUGAAAUAAGUUUUUUUUUUUUUUUUGGUAAUAUCUCCUACUGGGUUAUAGUUCAUACAAAGAGAAAUUCUUAAAUCAAGCCGGAUACUGGUAGAAACAAGUGGGGAAGUAGGCACUGAUAAAAUGGUUAAUCCUGUCCAGACUUAAUCAUUGAAGCAACUCCAAACUGGACUCCAUUUUAAAUAUCUUGACAUUCUAAGACUAUUUUACAAGCAUUUAAGUCUAUUCACAUGAUCAUCUAUAUCUUUUGGGAAUCUAAAAGAACUGUUGGUUUUCCAUUGCAAGGAAUUGUAACAUCCGUCCACUACAGCAGAAAGUCUAGUGCGACUCGUAUCAAUGAAGGUAGCUGGAUGCAGGGCAAUGACAGAGGUGGUAAUAGGUGACGGAGAAGAAGACGGAGCACCAAAUUUAAAUUCAAAACAAGAGAUUGUUUUCAGCAAAUUGAAGACAUCGAGUCUGUGUGAUUUAGAUAGUCUCACAAGUUUCUGCUCUGCCAAUUACGCUUUCAGAUAAAGAUUCUUGAAAUUGUCCUAUUUACAGCUGACAUUUCCACAAGAGUUAGAGAAAUAUAAAAAAUUCAUUAAUCGUUAGUUUUUAAUUUCAUUAUUCAAUGAAAAGUCCUGUCAAAUUAAAUUGCAAAUCUCAAUGUGCAAGUACCUAAAUUUACAAAAUUUACUUUAAAUUAAUGAAUGAAAGAAUUUAUUUUCUGCUGUUGGAGGAGUCGUCAUCUCUCUCGACAUAGUAUACGAUAUGUUUUGAUCCCAUAGGCUUUUUAAUAUAUUACCUUGUGUUGUUUGAUCUCUAGGUUUAUUUGCAAUGCGUCAGUUGGUUUAUUUGUUAAUUUUGGAAUGAAGUUGAUGCAGCUGAUGGUUGCAUAGGAUGAGUAGGAUAUCACUCCUAGAUCAUAACUUGAUCUAACAAUAUUGUGUAGGUCUUUUGUGACUCCAACAAUAAAAAAACUCAAUAUUUUUUUUAUAGAGCAAUAUUUGUUAAAGCAUGAAGAAAGGCAGAAAUAUUGUAAAUCCAUCUCAACUUUUCUGUUUAUUGUGGUCGCUGCUAGCGCUGGCUGUUUUCUUAUUUAACUUUGUUCCCUUUUGCCAUCAGCUCUUUGCAUUUUCAUUGGAUCAAGCGACCCUUUUCUUGCUUCAAUUUCUGAUCUCAAAAGCACUUUGAUUCUCUUCUAUAAUUCUGUUACACUGAUUUUCUCCUUAUUUUGUACAAAUAUCAUUUCUCUUUCCCAUUUAGCCUUGAUUUGCUUCAACUUGACUAUCAAUUGCCAAGUUGACCCUGUUGUAUUUUUAUUUUGUUCACUUCAAAUAGACCCAAAAAAAAAAAGAGAUGUUGAAUAAAGCCUAAAAUCUAAUUUGAUUUUUAAUCUGAUUUAGCUAAGAUGUCCAAUUUAAUAUUAAUAGCAAUGUUAAGGAUUCUAAUAAUUGGGUCCCAACUGAUAUGAUAGUCAUUUAUUAGAUGAUCGAAAUAUUAAUUUUACUAAUUAUGAAAUUCAUUAUCUAAUAAAAAAUGACACAUAACAAUUGGGUCUCAAGUUAGAAUUCAAAUAUUGGAAUUCUUAACAUUAUUUUAAUAUUAAAAAAUUCAUCAAAAUAAUAUAUAUUAUCUAAAAAAAAUAAAAAAUCUAAAACCAUAGAUUUACCCUUCAAUCUUCGUGAUUUGGCUGAUUUCUUUUAAAGCUUUGGUUUCUUUGGAAGUGCAACGAGAAAUAGUAAUAAGAUUAAAAAAGCAAUGAAGUAAAACUUUAAAAUUUUUAUUUUUUUAUAUUUUUAUGGGUCAUUUUACCGGCACUGGCGUUUGAUUUUCUGACUAAGCUACUGUUUAGUUCUAAGUUUUCAAUUACCCGGACUGCUCUGUUUUGUGUAUCAUCGACACAAUAAGGCUUAGCAUUUAAAAGUCGGCAGCCACGCAACUUCUUGGAAUCUUUGUGCAAGUGUUGGAUAUCGACUGUUCGAUAAUGAUGGCAGCAUUUGACUGGAGUGUAAUUGACGCAGUGGAAUAAGGAUCACAUGUCUCAAACUUUUGGUGAAGAUAUUGUCAGAUAUUUUAUUGAUUAAAGGAUCACAAAUAAUGGAUAUUGGAUGAGAAUCACAUGUUUUAUGGGAUUUACUAUGUUGCAACAGUGAUACCAUACCACUGUUUUUGUCAUUAUUCAUUGCGGCCGUUGGAUGGUAACUUAUUUAAUCUAAUGGUUUAAAUUAGUUAAUGGAGAAAUGACGCGGCAACUUACAACCCUUGCAGCCGGUUCUGUAUUGAUCUAAUAGCAUGGAGUAGUAAGCGUGCGUUUCAAAGAUGCUAAGAUACACUAAAUCCCACUAUUUCCAUACUCAUAAUCACAAGCUUACCUCAAAAAAUGAAGGGAGAAUACGAUGAAGAAGAAGAUGGCCAGUGUUUUACGCCGUUCGCCGGCAACCAGUUAGGUUUACGAUGGUGGCUAGUAACACGGAGUCCAGCGAAUAGUAGCAUACCGAACGGCUCUUUACCGUCACGUGGUUAGUAACAUAUGUGACCGCAGUGUGGCCGUCACAUAAAAGGUAUUGGGGUUACAAAGUUAGUGAUAUACGUAAUGGCUGCUUUUGCAUUCACAUUAGGGGUCACAUAUACCCUAUUUUUCUUGUAGUACAUGGUAAAUUCUAUUUGAAAAUUGCUAAGUAUUUUAGAUUUGUACAAAUUCAUUUUUGUGUGCUGGUGCCUGGUUGGAUAAUAAUAUAUAAUAAAUUAAAUUUUUGGUGUAAUUUUCACAAUAUUGUAUUAUAAAUAUGUAUCGUUGAGAGGUUUUGAAAUCGUUUUGAUUGAUCAUAAUUGAUAUUUCCACAGUUGUAAAAGAUGCCAGAGAAAAUUUGAUUAUCUUAAGAAAUGAGUGCAUGAGAUAUGAAAUCAACCAUACCGUAAAAUCAAAUUUUAUCGUGUCAUCCUUCUUGGUUCAAAUUUAUGGAAACAAUAAUCAAAUGCAUCCAUGAACUAGUAUAUUCCAACAUAUGUACCAUCAAAUUUUUGCUAUGUCAUACUUAUGUAUGUGUGUGUGUGUGUGUGUUUGUGUAUAUUGAAAUUUUAAUAACAACAAUUGGGGCAAGCAUAUGUUGGUACUUGAAGAUUUAUAAGCUCCAUUCUUGAAAAAAUAAGGCUUGACUGUUCUCGAUCUAAUUCUUUUUGUUUUAAGUUCUUAAUUAAGCUUUCUUGCUUGUUUUCAAGAGCCAGUUUUGUAAUGAUCGACAAACAUGAUUUGCAUAUAUUGCACUUGGCAUUUAUGUGUCACUUAUUAACUAGAUUUAAAUUUUAUAAAUUAAUUAAGCUGAUUAAUACUUUAUAUGUGCACUAAAUGAUAAAUACUACAUAAAUUGGGACACUAGUAACUACGUAUCCCAACUAUGUAAUAUUUGUUUGUCACAAAACCAAUCAUGGCCUGAUAUUCUAAAUAUUAUUUAGGAUACCAUUUCAAGUCCCAUGAGGGCUCUUUCCGUUAAAAAAAAAAAGUAUGAAAUAGAUGUAGAUUUUUCUUUAGAUAUUAUUACCUUUGGUGGCAAUGGUACGGGAUGAUUUGGGAUUUGACAAUUCCACUCUCAUCUUAAUUAUCAAAUGGAAUGUAAGUAUGGAUAAACUCGUCCUGUUUAUAUACUUGUGAUUAAAAUUAGGACCAAUCUCAAACCGCUCACAAUCAUGUCCCAUCCUAACUAUCCUGAAUGUCUCGAAUGCCUCCCUUUAUUAUCAUUUUAAUUCUCAUUAACAUAUUAGCAAAAUUUCCAUAUAUUAAAAAUAUUAGGGUCUGACUAUCUAUACUUUAAAAAUUACUAUGAACACUCAAUUAUUUUAUACACUCAUCUAAUAAAUUUAAAAAAUUAAGUUUCAUUUUGUACAUUUUUAAAAGUAACAAAAACAUUUUUACAUGAACCUAAUAAGUUUCUUUAAAAAAAAUUAAAUCAAUUAUUUUUAUUUAUUCAAAAUACUAAUAAAACUAUUCAGCAGACCGUGAAAGAAAAUUUUUAAGAAAUUUAGCACAUAAAACGUUGAAAGUUUCAACUAAAUUCUUUAACACAAUUUUAGAAAUUACUUAUUGUUUAUUAAAGAAUGUGUUCACUAAUGUUUUUAAUUUUGUGCAAUCAAAAAAGAAGAAGAAGAAGUUUGGGGUUAAAGAUACAUUUAAUUUUUAGUGUAAAAGUUGUAUCAAUCCUAUAAAAACUAAAAGAUCCAAAAGUUACAAGUUCCAACAUCACCCAAAUAUUACGAUUGUUUUUGGGAAGGUUAAAAGUGAUUUUAAAAAUUAAAAGCUUAUUUUAGUGUUUUAUAAAUUUUUUUUUAGUAAUUACUUUUGGCAAAAUCAUCUCAUCAUACAGUAGAUUUUGAAAAUUAAGAAAGGGAAUAGUUUUUCAAAAUCUAAUUUUGAGAAUCACUUUUAUACUUAAUCCAAUUCUCUCUCUCUCUCUCUCUCUCUCUCUAUAUAUAUAUAUAUAUAUAUAUAUAUAUAUCCUCAUUAUAUAAUAAAAAUCCAAAAUUACCUUUAUUAAUUAAGAAAUAAAAUCAUUAACUUUAAAGAAAUUAUUAUUACCACCAAUUAUAUUGAGAUAACAAAAUAAAUAAUACAAUUUAAUAAUAUACAAUAUUUAUUUUAGUUAUCAAUAAUUAUAUCUACAUAACAAAAAUAUUUUAUAUACAUGUUUGUAAAUGUGUAAAUAAAUUUUAUUUAGCUUUAUAUCCAAUUUAAUCAUUUACAUUCUUGCACCAGUUUAAUAAUAAGAUUUAUGAAACACAUAUGACUGCUUUUUAAACUAAAAGUACUUUUAAAAAUAAAUUUUACUAAAGGUUCACCUAAUUCUCUUCACGAUUGAUCAAUUUCUACAGCAUAGAUAACUGUAAUUAUUUUAAAAGCCAUAGAUUACCAAUAAAAAUGUCUAAAAGUAACAAUAAUAAACCAAAGUAAACGUACAAAAAUUCAUGCAUAAAUUGAUAAUCAACAAAAACAUCCAAAAGUUUUACUCUAAGUUUUCUAUUCAAUUGACAUAACCCUUAAAUUUCAAAAGGCAUAAUCAAUUUUGUGACUAAUCCUAUAAAAUUAGAAAAUUAAAGAAUAUUAUAUACUGAUAAUUAAAUAAUAUACAAUUAAUAAUGUAAAAAAAAAAUCAUGUUAAACAUAUUGUGAACUAAAAUAAUUGGGAGAAUUGGAGUUCCAAGAUAAAUUCCAAUCUAGUCCCAAAUCAACAAUUGGGAUUAAUUUCAAUCUUAAACUCCGAUUACUUUUAAAAUUGGUCCUAAUAAUAUGGACAAAUCCCAUUCUGAUCAGUAUGGAAUCUCAAUCCCAUAACUUUGGGUUUCGAUGGUGUUUAGUUGGAGGGAGGAGAGAGGAAGGAAAUGAAUUCAAAUUCCUUUCACUUUUCUGUUGUUUGGUUUUCACAAAUAUAUGGGAAUUCAAUUUCUAUUGAAAUUUAGUUUUCAUCAAAUUGUGCAUUUUGGAUUCCUCACCGAAGGCUGUAAAAUUCAAAUUCUCCUCCUAUUAGAAAUCAAAUCUUCCAAAAUUGUUCCUCUCAAAUAUUUAUCAAUUAUUUUUAUUCUUAUCAAACAAUUCUUAUUUAUGAUUUUAUUUUUUCAAUUUAAAUCGUCACUAAGGCGUCUAACUAAGGGCCAGUUUGGGAAUACUAUAACUUUUAAAAUAAUUAUUGUUAGUUGUGCUUUAGAAAUAAUCAGCUGUGAAGAAAAUUAAUUAAGUGUUUGGUAAAUUUUGUUUUAAAAAUACUGUGAGUUUUAAAAGCAGUUAUGGACAUUUAGUAAAUUUUACUAUUAAAUUGCUGAGAGAAAACAUAUGACUAAAAUGUAUAUAAUGUAGAUAAGAUUUACUUAUACAUAUAAAAACAUGUACAUAUAAUAUUUUUAAUUGUGUAUUAUAAUAAUUUUUAUUACAAAUAAAAUUUAUAAUAUAUUGAUUUUUUUAUUUUUUUAUCUUGAAACAAUUGAUAAUUAAAUUUGUAAUAUAGUGAAACAAAUUUAAUAAUAAUUCGACCAAUAAACUGAUAUUAAUAUAUUUAUAUAACCAAAUUAACGGGUGAAUUCUAUAAUCGAUUUCUUUUAUUAACAUCUCAUAACUAUGAGAAGUUUUAUAUUUUGAUAAAUGAUCAUACUCAAUUAUGUGCCUUAUUGGAUGAAAGACGGAGAAGGAAUGCCUUACCGGAUUCAAUUCAAUAUACACUUUUUGUUCCCAGGUCUAGCCUUUCGCGGGUACCUCAACAAAAAACUGAAGAGUAAUGGCAACAAGUGAUUGAGUUAAGUAGUUCCUCAUGUAAAAUUAUUGACUCUAGAGAUAUAGUAAUAUGGAGAAGACUAAACUAUUUCGUAUUGAUGAAUUAUAGUAACAAUUUAUUAAAAUAUUGAUUUUGAUUCUAAUUUUAAUAAGGAAGAACACCAAGAACGUUAUCCCUCUAAAUAUGUACUAUAUACAAAAAAUAAUUGUAAAAAAAGGGUAGAAAAAUAAAAGACAACUCAGAAAAUACUAUUUUUUUUAAUUAUAGAAUAUGACAUUGCAACCUAUAAUUACAUGUAAUUAUAUAAAGAUUAAAAAAUCAAUUAAGAAUUUCAAAUUAAAAUAGAUCAAUACAUGUAAUUACAAUCAAUUAAAAAUUGCAAGUAAAACUUUUGAAGUGGAAUACUAAAUUACCCGACUUAAUAAAUUAAACAAUUAAAAUUUAUUCAUCCUUUCAAAUUGUAAAAGUAUUAUUAGUCAAAAGUUUCAAUAAUAAACUAAACUCAAUUCAGCAAAAAGGUAUUUGAGUGCAAUUGUUUCUUUGUUAGGCGCUUUGCCUCUCUUUAAAGAACUAGAUGUUAAUUAUUCUUCUAUCAAAAAAUCCUUAAAAUAAUUAAAUUUUAUUUUCUAACUUGUUCUCUUAGUUUUUUUGAAACUAACAAAUAAAAUCUGAAAAUUCACAUAAAAAUUUUAUGAAAAUAUUGAUAAUUAUUACUAUAUGUUGUUCUGUAAGUACUUUUAAUACUAACAACGAUGUUAUAUUAUAUUGAUAGAUUUUUUUUUCAAUUAGAAGUUUUUAAAAUAAAUUAAAGCAAUAAUAAAAUUUUAGCUCCCUAAUUUUUCAAUCUAUUCAAUAAAUACGUAAUUUAAUCAUUUUAUAAAAUAAGUCACUAAUUGCAAUUGAAAAUAAUAUAAUUGAAUUAGGGACAUAUUUGUAAAUAAAAAAAACUAUUGUUAUAUAAAAUUGAUGAAAACAUAAGGAUAAUUGAGUUAAGGACAUAUUUGAAUAUAAAAUAUUGUUGUACUAAAUCGAUGAAAAUGUAAGGGUAAUUGAGUUAGGGACACAUUUAAAUAUAAAAUAAAAAAUCUAUUGUUAUACCAAAUUGAUAAAAACAUAAAAGUUAUUGAGUUAGGGACGUAUGUGAAAAUAAAAUAUAAACUCUAUUCUUUUACUAAAUUAAUGAAAAUGAAAAAAAGAGGUAUAAACGAUUUUUUCCCACAUGUAGGUCCGCCACUCGUGUUGUAUGAGAAUUGUAAUCCAAAAAUUUUCCCUACAAAACGAUUUUUAAUCGACAGCAAAUUUUCACUACAAAACGAUUUUAAACGAUUUUUGUUUUUUUUCGAUUAAUUUUGAAAUGUUGCAUACAUAACGAGCUGCCAUUGAAAUUAAUGUUAACAACCAAAGUAGAUGCAAAAGGAGAAACAAGCAUCAUGUGCAGUACCCACUGUGAACUACUCACAUUGGAAUAAGUUGUCGGCAGCUGGUCUGUUUGGCCAUUGAUAUUUUGACUAUUCAAUGUUGAUUUUGACCCCACUAAAUUAAGCCAUCAAAAAUUGCUGGGAAGGGAGUAAUAUCUAUUCAUAACUGGAAAUUACUCGCCGUACAAUGAUGAUUGGAGCUGCAUGUAUCAUUUAUUAUUAACAACUAACUUAUGAAAUGCUUUGAAUGUACCUCCUAGGUCGUAUUUACUAUACUGGUUAGGAGAAACUACAAUAUUAAAUUAUUUGAUAAAUACUUAUUAUAAUUUAAAAAAUAUAUUAAUUUUGUCCUCCACUUUAUGAUAAAAAAAUUAUAAUAUAUAUAAAUCAUUCAUUCUAUAAUCUUGAACUUUAUUAAAGUUCCAAAAACUAUUACUCUAUAUGAUAUACUCGGGUGAUGUUAUUACACUAUUAUACAGUACAAAAUAUAUUUGUUUUCUUAAAUUUUAAUAAAGUCUAGGUCUUGGAGAGAAGCGCUUUAUAUAUAUGUAUAUAUAAUGAUUCUCUAGUGACGACAUCCUCAUUUUAACAAAGUGAUGAUAUCACUAACAAACUAAAUAACACACAUUUCAAUACACCAAUUGAUAAAAAAAUCCAGUUUUUAAUGUGUUAAAAUAUAUGUCUUUUGUAUAUUAUUGAUAUUUUCAUUUUAACAAAGUGAAGGUCUCCUCACUAUAGAAGUGCUUUAUAAAUAUUUUCUGUAUUUUUGUAAAAAUUAUUAUUUAAAAGUCAUAUCUUACCAAAGACUAAUAGUUUUUAUUUUAUCACUAUACUGUACUUUUCAAGAUAGAACACCUCAAUACCAUGACCUUAAUUUUGAACUCUCUUGUACAAAGUUGUUGGCGGGUCUAUUUAGUUUAGUCUUUCAACUAUUUGUCGUUUGAACUAAGAUGAUCCGAAUAAAGAUAUAUAUCAAUAAUUUCCUAGUGAAACUUCGGAAAAAUAUAAAAAUCCUCUCAUAUAGUAGCAUUAUUUUAAUUCUCAGCUUGAUUAUGUUUUGAGUUAACUUAUAAAUUAUUUGAAAUAAAAAGAAUAUAAUUUAUUUUUUCCAACGGAAUUUUUUAAAUAAUUUUAUUAGUUUAAUGAGUAAUUAUACACUUACAAAGUUAUGAUAUAAAAUUAUAUCCCUAAAUCCCAAUAAUAUGACACCAAUGAACUACUGCUAUGUGUUUCUUAGUAAUUAACUUUUUAUACUAUUAUUAAUGAGAUAAUUAACUUCAACACCAAUAUAAAAAUUUUAUAUUAAUACAUCCUCUAGCUUUAGACGUUACAGACUCUGUAUGUAACGCAGCAAAUGAGGAGCAUCCACGCGUUGCAGGAGAGAGGAAAAGUUGUUGGAAUUUAGCUGAUACAAGACUAAUUUCCAUUGAGCUGUUACAUACAGAGUCUGUAAGGUAGUUUUAUUAUCAAAUAAUCAUAUGUCAUAAUCGAACCAAGCUACCAGAGCCUACCACUAAAAGAGUGAUUGAAGGGUUUUCCAAGUUUGAAAAUGUUAGUAGCAUUGGCAAAUGGCAACUUCCAGGAAUCUUCCUGCUACAAUCAAGUUGAAUCAACUAUUCAGUGAAAUACGCAAACGGCACAUAGGACCCCGCCACCCGUAAAGUCACAAUCAUUUGUUUAUUUGUCAAUCAAGUUGAAUCAACUUGAAUAAAGCCUAAAAUCUAAUUUUUUAUUUCGUUCACUUCAAAUAGACCCCCCCCCCCCAAAAAAAGAGAUGUUGAAUAAAGCAUAAAAUCUAAUUUGAUUUUUAAUCUGAUUUAGCUAAGAUGUCGAAUUUAAGACUAAGAGCAAUGUUAAGGAUCCCAAUAAUUGAGUCCCAAGUGAUAUGGUAGUCAUUUAUUCUAUGAUCGAAAUAUUAAUUUUACUAAUUAUGAAAUUUAUUAUCUAAUGAAAAAAUCACACAUAUCAAUUGGGUCUCAAGUUAGAUUUCUACUAUUGAAAUUCCUAACAUUUUUCCAAUAUUUAAAAAUUCAUCAAAAUAAUAUCUAUUAUCUAAAAAAAUAAAAUAAAAAUCUAAAACCAUAUAUUUACUUUUCAAUCUUUGGCUGAUUUUUUUUUAAAGUUUUGGUUUCUUUAGAAGUGCAAAGAGAAAUAGUAAUAAGAUUAAAAAAGCAAUGAAGUAAAACUUUAAAAUUUUUAUUUCUUUAUAUUUUCAUCGGUCAUUUUACCGGUACUGGUUUGAUUUUCUGACUAAGCUACUGUUUAGUUCUAAGUCUUGGCAAUUACCCGGACUGCUCUGUUUUGUGUAUCUUCGACACAAUAAGGCUUAGCAUUUAAAAGUCGGCAGCCACGCAACUUCUUGGAAUCUUCGCGCAAGUGUUGGAUAUCGACUGUUCGAUAAUGAUGGCAGCAUUGGACUGGAGUGUAAUUGACGCAGUGGAAUAAGGAUCACAUGUCUCAAACUUCUGGCGAAGAUACUGUCAGAUAUUUUAUUGAUCAAGUAAGGAUCACAAAUAAUUGACGCAGUGUAAUUUGCUUUUUUUGCUACUGAUGUAAGUCUUGCAAUUAUUUUUAAAUAAUGAUAUUAUAAUUAAAAAUCAAGAAAUAUUUAUAAUACUUAAAGACUGAUUCAGAUUAUUAAUUCUUUUAUAUGACUUAAUUAUUAGCUGACAAAUAAUUAAAAAGUCAUGGAACAAUACUUUUAUUCUAAUAUGACACAACUUGUACUUUCAUUCCUAUGCUAAAAUAUAUCUAACUUAUUAAUAGUCAAGAAAUAUAUCUAUUCAACAUAUAUUUGUUAGAAAGAUUAUCUACUAAUUAAUCAUUCAGACAAGAUUACGAGUCUCAACAUAAAGAGUAAUGAUAUAAUCAUAAAUUUUUGUAUAAAUUUAUUUUGUAUAAAUUAAUAUGUCAUAAUAAGAUUGGUUAAAUUAAAUAUCACUUGACUCAUAUAAUUUAUUUUUAUUAUUUUAUAUUUUCAUUCAACUAAUGAAUUAAUGUCAUGUUAAUUUAUACAAAAAUAUUUAUACAAAAAUUUAUAGUUAAUUUAUACUCCAAAUUAAGAUAAAAAUUAAUACAUUGAAAUUCAGAACCCUUUUUUAUUUUUUUUUUCCUUCUGCAGUUUAAAAAGGAGUCGCCCACGAUUAUUGAAAUAAUUUUAUCAGAUUCGCUUGAAAGUAGUUUUACGAGCAAGCGGUUUUUCCCUCUUGAUCCCCGUAUUCGUCAGCUCCUACUCUUUGCCUUCAAUUCUCAGUCAAGAAAACCUCUCCUGAUUUUCGUCUUUUGAUCUCAUACACACUUUGCUUCUGUUCAUCGUGGUCGCUGCUCGUGCUAGCCGUUUUCUUAUUUAGCUUUGUUCCCUUUUGCCAUCAGCUCUUUGCUUUUUCAUUGGAUCAAGCAACCCUUUUCUUGAUUCAAUUUUCUGAUCUCAAAAACACUUUGAUUCUCUUCUGUUACACUGAUUUCCCCCUUGUUUUGUACAAAUAUAAUUUCUUUUUCCAAUUUUGCCUUGUUUUGCUUCUACUUGAUUAUCAAUUGCGCGGUCGUUGACCCUGUUCUAUUUCUAGUUCGUUCCCUUCCCCCCCCCCCCAACCCAAAAAAAAUGGACAUUUUGAAAAGCAUUGUAAACUGCUUGUCUCCUCACGCACAACGCGAAUUUAGUUAUUGGCAUAACUCCGCUGCCAACUUUGAGAAUCUCAAGGCAGAACUCGAUGGGCUCAAGGAUGAAAGAGAAAGCAUUCAGCGCAGAGUUUCUGAGGCUGAAAGAAAAAGUGAAAAGAUUGAAGAGAAGGUUGAGAAAUGGCUGGUUAAUGCGAACAAGAGCAUUGAGCAGGCAGCCAAAUUCAUUCAAGACGAAGAGAAAGCAAAUGAACGAUGUCUCAUGGGGCUGUUUCCUAAUUGGAUUACUCGCUAUCAGCAUGGAAAGAAAGCAGAAACAGAGAAGGAGGCCCUUUUUAAACUCCGAGAAGAAGCUGGGAGAUUUGAUAGAAUUUCCUACCCUACCAUUCCGGAGGAGAUUUGGCUCAAGUCUCACAAAGGCUACGAGGCCUUCGAAUCAAGACUUCCUACUUUGGAGGAUAUAAAAAACGCAUUAAUCAAUGUUAAUGUCAGCAUCAUUGGGGUGUACGGCAUGGGCGGCAUUGGAAAGACGACACUGGUGAAGGAGUUUGCAAGGCGAGCCAUUGAAGACAAGCUUUACGAUAUGGUGGCUUUUUCGGAGGUUACCCAAAGUCCAGACAUAAAAAAGAUCCAAGAGGAAAUUGCGGAAACGUUAGGCCUACAGUUGUCCGAGGAAGCUGAGUCUAGAAGAGCUGGUAGACUAUAUGAAAGAUUGAAGAAUGAGAAGAAGAUCCUUGUGAUUCUGGAUAACAUCUGGAAACCUCUUGAUUUGGGGACUAUUGGAAUUCCUUUUGGAGUUGAGCACAGAGGAUGCAAAUUAUUAUUCACAACAAGAGAUCUUGAUGUGCUGUUAAGGAUGGGAUCUGAAAAAAACUUGUCGAUUGGCAUUUUAAAUGAACAAGAAGCCUGGAGAUUGUUCAAGAUAAUGGCUGGUGAUUAUGUUGAAAAUCGUGAGUUAAAAUCUGCAGCAACAAGUGUAGCCAAGGCAUGCGGAGGUUUGCCUAUUGCCCUAACCACAGUAGCAAAGGCACUGAGAAAAAAAGAGCUGCCUGUGUGGAAGAAUGCCUUGCAAGAGCUCCAAACGCCUUCAGAGGCGAGCGUCGACGAAGGAGUACCAGCAGAGGCAUACUCAACAAUUGAGCUGAGUUACAAGUACUUAAGAGGUGAGCAACUCAAGAAAACUUUUUUACUGUGUAGUCUUAUUACGCCAGCACCAAUUAUGGACUUGUUCAAAUAUAGCAUGGGCUGGGGUGUAUUUAAAAGUGUCCACAAGCUAGAAGAUGCACAUAACAAAUUAGAUGCAUGGGUCCAUCAACUAAGAGACUCUUGUUUGCUGCUUGAGGAUGGUGGCAGUAAAUACUUUUCUAUGCACGACGUUGUUCGCGAUGUUGCCAUUUCAAUUGCAUGUCGUGACAAAAUUGGAUUUGUGGUGAGAAAUGGCCAAAUGCAGAUGAAUUAAAAAAAUAUCUUGCAAUUUCUUUAAAAGAUAGUAUUAUUAAUGACAUUCCUGAAGGGUCCGAAUCUCUACAACUUGAACUUCUACUCAUGUCUCCCAAGAACUCUUUUGCUGUGCCUAAUAUUCCUGAGAACUUCUUCAAAAGGACGAAAAAGCUUCGGGUUUUGGAUUUGACUAGAAUGCGGUUAUUGUCAUUGCCAUCUUCAAUUGGUCUUCUAGUAAAUCUUCAGACACUUUGUCUUAAUCAAACCAUUUUGGGAGGCAUAGACAUAGCCAUUAUUGGAAAGUUGGAAAAUCUAGAAAUCCUCAGCUUCGUGCGGUCUGAUAUGGUGCAAUUGCCCAAAGCACUUGGUCAACUGACUAAGCUAAGGCAGUUAGAUUUAACUGACUGUUUCCGUCUAAAAGUUAUUGCUCCAAAUGUCAUAUCAAGCUUAAUCCGAUUAGAAGAAUUGUAUAUGGGUAAUUGCUCCAUUGAAUGGGAGGUUGAAAGAGCGAACAGCAAAAGAAGUAAUGCUAGCCUUGAUGAAUUGAUGCAUUUACCUCGGCUAACCACUCUAGAAAUUGAUGUUAAAAAUGAGAGUAUGUUACCAGAAGGCUUUUUGGCCAGAAAGCUCGAAAGGUUCAAAAUACAUAUUGGAAAUGGGUUAUUCACACAUCCCAUGCUUUUUAGACAACAGUGGUUUAAAAGUCGGCAGCACUUUUGGAUCAACAGUAAACGCAAGAGUUUAAGAGCAUUGAAGCUCAAGCUUGAUUUUAUGGACAUUUGCUCCAUGAAAUUGCAGGGCAUCAAUAACGUUGAAUACUUAUGGUUGGACAAGCUGCAAGGCAUCGAGAAUGUUCUUUUCAAUUUGGACACGGAGGGCUUUUCACAAUUGAAGCUUCUCUGGGUUCAAAAUAAUCCUGACUUCUUUUGUAUCGUCGAUUCAAGGGAGAUGGUCGCUUGUGAUGCCUUUCCUCUUUUGGAGUCACUUAUCCUUCACAACUUGAUCAACAUGGAGAGGAUAUGUAUUGAUCGGCUCAAAGUAGAGUCUUUCAACGAACUCAAAAACAUAGAAGCAUAUAAUUGUGAUAAAUUGAGUAAUAUCUUUUGGCUCUCUACUACAAAAUGCCUUCCAAGACUUGAGAGAAUUGCAGUUAUUAAUUGCAGCAAGAUGAAAGAGAUUUUUGCAAUUGGGGAAGAAGUUGAUAAUGCAAUUGAGAAGAUAGAGUUUGCUCAAUUAAGAUCUUUGAGUCUGGGGAAUCUUCCAGAGGUUACAAGUUUUUGCCGCGAGGUGGAGACUCCUUCAGCAUCACCAAACAGACAAGUGUCGCAAGAGGAAUCGACGACUAUGUAUAGCUCCAGCGAAAUCACUUUGGAUAUUUCAACUCUGCUUUUCAACGAGAAGGUGCGUAGGCUAACAGAUUUUAUUCUAUCAUGCGUUCUGUUUUGAUGUCAUACGUGGAAAAUAAUUAAAUCAUUUAAAGAAUUGAAAGAAAAUGGAAAAAAGGAUAAAAAGAAUCUCACGCGCUCACUAAUUGAGCUCUUAACAAGUAGUAUGAAUUAGAAUGCAUACUCAGCUGUCAGUUGGAAAUUGAUUCUGACUUGCAUUAAUUUGUAAUCAAAGAAGAAAAUUUCAACAAGUGCUUCCCAUAUGGAUAUUGGAUCUAACGAGAAAUUCUUAUUUUUUUAGGUAGUGUUGCCUAACUUGGAGGCUUUGGAGAUAUCUACAAUUAAUGUCGACAAGAUUUGGCACUACAAUCAUCUUCCGGUCAUGUUUCCUCGCUUUCAAAAUUUAACACGAUUGAUUGUAUACUGCUGUAUCAAAUUAAAAUACAUAUUUUCAGCGUCUAUGAUCGGAAGCCUGAAGCAGCUCCAACACCUAGAAGUAUGCUUAUGUGAGGAUUUACAGGAGAUCAUUUCUGAAAACAGAGCAGAUCAAGUGAUCCCUUAUUUUGUCUUUCCACAGCUCACCACUCUGAGACUCCAAGAUCUACCAAAACUUAGAUGUUUGUACCCUGGAAUGAAUACUUUGGAAUGGCCCGUGCUAGAAAUUCUUUUUGUGUAUGGUUGUGACAAAUUAAAGAUAUUCGCUGCAGAUUUAUCGCAGAAUAAUGAGAAUGAUCAACUUGGUAUUCCUGCACAACAGCCCCUAUUGCCGUUGGAAAAGGUAUGAAGUCAUUUUCUAGAUUUUUUAUCAAUAGCUUAUUUUUAACUUUGAAAAAUAUGACAAAGUAUCGAUAAAUUAAUACUCAAUAAAUUAAAAACUUUUAUUAUACAAUAAUCUUUGCUAGUCUAGACUAAGGGAUCAAUGUCGUAGAUUAAUAAUUAUAUGAACUGUUUUAGGUAUAGCAUUUAUAAAAGAAUCCUUAGUCUUUCCAUAUAGAAGAACUUACAAAAUAAAUUAGUAAUUUAUUAUUGUGCAAUAAAAUAAUUUCGAGCCAGUAUAAAUCAACCUUUUUUCCCUAAUUUCUUUUUUACCUCUAAAAUUAACAUAUAAAAUAAAUUUUAUCAAUAAUUCAAUUUUUUUUAAAAAUAUAAUAUAAAACAAAUACUAUAAAGUCACUGCAUGUGACCGUAGAUCAUCAAUUGACCUCAUUAGUUAUUAUGAUUGAUGAUGAUCAGAUCGUACCCAACUUGAAGAAACUAUCACUAAGUGGAAAAGAUGUGAAGAUGAUUUUGCAGGCCGAUUUUCCACAACACCUUUUUGGCAGUCUUAAACAACUAGAGAUUGUUGGAGAUGACUCAGCUUGUUUUCCAAUCUGGAACGUACUGGAGAGAUUUCACAAUCUUGAAAUGCUCAUACUGCGUUAUUUUUCAUUCAACGAAGAGGAAUUUUCGAAGGAAGGAUGCUUAGAGAAACAUGUGGGGAAGUUGGCAAUGAUAAAAGAAUUACAGCUGCACGGGCACGAUCAUCUUGAGCAGCUGUGCAAACAAGACUCCAAACUUGGCCCCAUUUUUCAGUAUCUUGAAAUUCUAGGAGUAUAUUAUUGUCAAAGUGUGUUAAUUCUAUUGCCAUCAUCAUCGGUAUCUUUUCGGAACCUAACAGAACUUGUAGCUUUCGGUUGCAAGGAAUUGAUACACUUGGUAACAUCCUCCACAGCAAAAACUCUAGUGCAACUCGUCACAGUGAGUAUACAUGGAUGCAGAGCAAUGACAGAGGUGGUAAUAAAUGACAAAGAUGGAGUUGAAAAAGAAGAGAUUGUUUGCUGCAAAUUGAAGAUGUUGGGACUGUUUGAUUUAGAUAGCCUCACAAGUUUCUGCUCUGCCAAUUACACCUUCAAAUUCCCAUCUUUACAAGAUUUGAAUGUGAUUGGUUGUCCCAAGAUGAAGAUUUUCACUACAGGAGAAUCAAUCACGCCUCCAAGAGUAAAUGUCUGGUAUGGAGAGACAGGGGAUCGAUUGCUUUGGACCAAUAAUGAUCUCAACACAACCAUACAACAAUUACAUGCUGAAAAGGUACGGAUAUACAUAGUACUCUCUAUCUCCCAUGGAAACAUUUUACAAAAUUUUUAUUUUAAUAAAAUAUAGAUAAGAUAUUUGUUAUAAAGUAAAAGUUUAAAUUGAUGAAUAAGAAUUUUAUUUUCAGCUGUUGGCGGUGCAGUCGGCGAUCUCUACCCAUUACUAAUUUCAUAGGCUUCUUAUGACUUGGGAGUUGUGAAUUUUUAGAAGAAAGCCUCAGCUGGUAAUUAAUUUUUAUUUCAUUUAUUUGAUCUCAUGGCUUGUUUCGCAAUUUCAUCUGAAUUAUUUAGAAUGGGUCAAUCGGCUUACUGUUAAAUUUGGAAUGCAAUUUUAAUGAUUCGUUCAGACUUUUGUGGACAGAUUUUGCAUCAUUGAAUGUCUUCUAGUCUAGUUUAAUUUGAGUAUUUUUUUCUUUUUUUCUAAAAUUUUAUAAUUCCUUGCAUACUUUGUAUGAUAAAAUUUCAUAAAAAGCCUUCAUAUUUUAUAAUUCCUUGAAAACAUCAUUGUUGUUCUGUUAUUUUAGUUUGUUCAUUUGGUUUGGUUUGCUUCACCCCUAUCUUUCUUUGGAAACUUUUUGUUUUUUUUUUUAUGAUCUUUCCAAAUGCUCUUUCCUAUGAACACAUAAUUAAGAACAGCUGAAAAUCAUUCAUCGGAUAAAAAAUUAAAAAUAAACAAAAUCUAAUCAGAGCAUUAUGCCUAGAACAAAUCCUUAGACCAUCAAAGCCAAACUCUUCGCUAUGAAAAACUAUAUUGUGGAAAUAUUGUUUGAAAACGUUGGACACCAAGAAAGGGACUAAUUUGGUCUAGUUUUAUGAGAAGUAUAGAAGAACGUUGUUUUCUCUGUUUUUCCUGUUAGAACUCUUUACUCUAUGAUUGUAGAAUGUCUGGAUACUGAUGAAGAUUCAGGUAACUCUUCUCCUGUGCAUCAUUUGAAAUAAGUUUUUUUUUUUUUUUUUGGUAAUAUCUCCUACUGGGUUAUAGUUCAUACAAAGAGAAAUUCUUAAAUCAAGCCGGAUACUGGUAGAAACAAGUGGGGAAGUAGGCACUGAUAAAAUGGUUAAUCCUGUCCAGACUUAAUCAUUGAAGCAACUCCAAAUUGGACUCCAUUUUAAAUAUUUUGACAUUCUAAGACUAUUUUACAAGCAUUUAAUGAAUGAAAGUCUAGUGCAGCUCGUAACAAUGAAGGUAGCUGGAUGCAGGGCAAUGACAGAGGUGGUAAUAGGUGACGGAGAAGAAGAUGGAGCACCAAAUUUACUUUAAAUUAAUGAAUGAAAGAAUUUAUUUUCUGCUGUUGGAGGAGUCGUCAUCUCUCUCGACAUAGUAUACGAUAUGUUUUGAUCCCAUAGGCUUUUUAAUAUAUUACCUUGUGUUGUUUGAUCUCUAGGUUUAUUUUAUCGUUUCAUCUUAUUAUUUGCAAUGCGUCAGUUGGUUUAUUUGUUAAUUUUGGAAUGAAGUUGAGCGGGUAUCUAUUCGGCAAGAAAUUCUGUUUAUUUCCUAGUUAUUUUACAAAGUUUAAGAGAUUUUCUUAUUUUUCUUAUUAUUUUCAAUAUUUUUAUAUUUUUUCUCUAAAUAUAAGAUUUUAAGUAUGAUUUAUUUUAUUUUUCUUAUUUCAGUUAGGAGAACGUUAUUAUGUAAUAAUAUUUUAAGUUUGCCUAUUUUGAUAAAUACAUAAUACUUAGAAUUUGUGUAAAAAGGGUCCAAUACCCUAAUUUUGUUAUUCAAACUUCUAUUAAUAAAAUUUCAGACUUUUUAAAAAAAAUUCUCUAUAUUUUCAAUCUCAACAUCUAUGUUUCCCUUUCAUCAUAAGUUUUAAUGUCUGGUUCUGAGCUAGCUUUAUGUGCAUAUUAAACAUCAUUGAAGGUCUUUUGAUCUAAGUUGUGAUCAAAAAAUUAUGCUCGCUUCUGUCUGGUCGUAUGAAAAUUGUGCAAAAUAAUAUUCUUAUAUAAUUUUUAUCCUCCAUUGUUACAAAAUCCCAAGCUUCGAAUUUGUAAACUUUGAAAGCAUGGCAGAAAACUUAGUACUUAAUAAGGCUCUGGAAUAAGACUCUUUAUGGCUUCAAUAUUUUAUUUAACAUGAAAAUUUCUUUCUAACUAGCAUCAUUGCGAAGAUAAAUUGUGGUAGUUCUGACAAGUACUGCACAAUUAAUGUUACCAGCAAUCAAUUGUUGUGAGCACCGACAACCAUUUUCAUAUUUAAGCCUUAAGAACAGUAACUCAAAAUAUGGCAAGUGGCAACCACAUCAAAUAAUCAAAUUGUUGAUAGAUUUAGAGAGCUUUAAUUUGCUUGAUAUAUAUUUGAAUAUUUCAACAGAUGCAUCUUUUCUCUACUCACGGGGCACGUUGAGUUAGAAACGGUUUGAAUGUCAAUAUUACUCCAAGUGCCUCAACCAAAUUCAGAAUGAAAAAAACCAUCUGGUUACCUGCACUUUAGUUUAAGCAGCUGAUUAAGUUAGUUAGCACCAAGUAAUUCACAUACUGGUGAGAAAUUUCAUUAGUAAAUCAUCAUACCGGGGAGGAAACCAGCAUCUUGACGCUUUUGUGACCAAGAAAAUCUGCACAACCCGAUUAAUCAAGUUGUUACCAAACAAAUGAUCAAUUUAAUCAUGCCUUAAUUUUUUCUUUUUUUUUUUUUGUGCCGGGGGGGGGGGGGGGGGGGGGGGGGGGAAUAAAAAUCGUAACUUCAUUUACAUAUAAUUUUACAAAAUCAAUAGGACACUUACGGAGCACCUCCUACAGUCAUAGCAAGUCCAUUGGCAGCUCCUCUUUGAUGCUGUUCCCGUUAUUGUGGCAUAAACCAACAAAUUAAAUUUAAACUUUGACACAUACAAAAUUUGAUAAGGCUGAAAUCAUGGAAAUGUACUAAACAAAUAAAAGAAAAAAAUAUUUACCACUGCUCUGUUUUGAAGAAGGAAUAAUCCAGUUAUUAUAGCCACCUGAUGUUACAAUUCAGGAAAAGUAAAAAAGAAUUACAAGAAUUCUAAUAAAAAAGACAUAAAAUAAUUUUAUACAUACUUGCUGAUGGAUAAUAUAACCUACGUAUAUGGAUCAAUGAUUAGGAUAUCCACUUACAGAUAAAACAUUCUUCAUCACAGAAGCACAGUUUAUCAAUAAGGCAAGGCUGAACCCAGAUAACAUUGCUAUAAAAGUGUAACUUGUCAAAAGCGCCAUCGAUAAAACCUGUACACACAUAGAAAAUUAUGGGACCAAAACCAUGAAGAAAAGUGUUUUAUAAACAAAUAUGUUUGAAACAAACUAUCAAAUGGUCUAAAUGCCACAUGGUGUGUUCAAAAUUUUACCCCUGCAAUGCGUGUUAUGAUUAUUGGCCCAAUGAUCCUCUCGACGUAAGGGUAUAGAGUGAGUUGAAAAAUAAGGAGGCUGAAUCUUGUAGUAAGUUCAAAAUGAGGACAAUCAUCAAGCAUGUGAUGGUGUCAAUGUAGUCAUUAUAAGAGAAGCGAAAGUUAUAUUUUAUAGUCUCACCAAUAAGAAAAUUUGAAGUUAUGGGAGAGUUGCUAUUACAUGUACAAUUCAGCCUGAAAAGAGAGCUAAAGGCUACGUACCGGAAUCCAGCAAGAAGCAAUAGUUACCGCAAAAGCAAAGAGUGACAUACAGAGACAGGGCAGAGAUGAAUUCAGUCAGCUGAAUCAAUUGAAGAGUGAAGUGCCAGCUCAGCUGAAGUUAGUUAGACACGUUUAGAUCAUAUUCAGUUAGUUUCUUCAUUUUCUGUUAAGCUGUAAACAGCUGAGUAUAAAUACAAGCAUCUUGUAAUCAUUGAAGUUUUAAGCAAAAUAAAAUAAAGCAUUUGAUUUCAUAAGUCUUUUACAAUUUUCUCAGCACUUGAAAAUACAUUUUCUCAGUAACCAAACAGUCUAUUCAUUCAAGCUUUUAAGCUUUCAAACAUGGUAUCAGAGCCAUACAGAGCUAGUUCCAGUAAUCAACAGUCAAGCUUUCGUAAUCAAACAACAAACAACACAAAUCAACCUACUCAAAUCAACUUCUCUUUUACUAAUCCUAUCAAGCUAGAUCGAUCAAAUUACUUACUCUGGCGUUCUCAAGUUCUAGCUUCAAUAAGAGGCAAUCGUUUGGAAGAUUUCGUCAUAGGAGACAGAUCAGUACCUGAUAAGUGUCUUCUGUUAACUGAAGCAGAUGGAUCUAUACAACAAAUUGAAAAUCUAGAAUAUCAGAUCUGGAGAUCACAGGAUUAGACACUUCUUGAUUGGCUACUGUCGUCAUUAAGUGAAGGUAUCUUAAGUCUUGUUAUCAAUUCUGAGAGUUCUUUUGAUAUAUGGAAAACUUUGGAAAAGAAAUUUGGAGUUCAAUCUAAAGCUCGACUGCUUCAGCUCAUAUAUGAACUAAACACUAUUAAAAAGGAAGCUCUUAGUGUUGAAGAUUAUUGUAUUAAAAUGAAAGCAAUAGCUGAUAAGCUGGCCAGUGCUGGUAGUUCCAUUACAGAGAAGGAUCUUAUGUUAACUAUUCUUAAUGGAUUAGGACCAGGAUAUCGUGAUAUUGCUACAUUUAUAACUGGUUCACAAAUGGAAUUUGAUGAUGUUUAUGCACUGUUACUCACUCAUGAGACUAGAUUAGAGCAGGAGCAAGGUGACAAAAGUAUGUUUAAUGCAAACUAUGCAUAUACGAAUGCAUAUUAUCCUAGAGCUUAUUUUGCACAGCCUAGAGGAAGUUUUAAACGAGGAGGUUAUUCUGGUGGUAGAACUCCUUUCUUUGGCAGAGGAAAUAUGAAUUACUCUCCAAGAAUGUUUAAUGGAGGUUUUAAAAAUGGAUAUGGCAGAGGAUUUUUUUCCUGGAAACAACUGAUUUCAAUCAUUUUCCAGCUCCUAGGAAUCCAGUACCUAGGAACUCAUCUUUUCUAACUAGAAAUGGAUCUGCUAACAUGAGUGGAUCACAAGGAAGUUUUAAUAAUGCUGGGGAGCUGGUAUGUCAGAUUUGCUUUAAGAGUGGUCAUACUGCUGAUGUCUGUUGGCAUAGAUUUGUUGAAGACUUUGUACCUGUUCCAAGAGGUUUUGGCAGGGGAAAAACACCAAGAGCAGCAUAUUUCUCAAACUUUGAUGGCUCUACUUCUAAUCCAGAUUUUGGCUAUGAAAAUCUUAAUAAUAUGUUUCCAGGUUAUGAUUCUAUGUCUGGCAAUAGUUAUUAUUAUGGAAUGGAUAGAUACACUUCUGGAGCAGCUGGAACAGCCUUUAUGGCUAAUUUUGAAGGAACUGCUGAUGAUGGAUGGUAUCUGGAUAGUGGGGCAACUCACCAUUUAACCAACAACAUGGAGAAUUUGCAGAUCAAUGAAGAGUUUAAAGGUACUGAUCAGCUUAUCAUUGGAAAUGAUCAAGGUUUGUCUAUUACUCAUGUUGGACAUGCAUUUCUGGUGUUAAGAGCUUCUAAAUCCUUAUCUACACAUGCUAGAAUAACACUUAAAGAUAUGUUACUUGUUCCUUCAAUUACCAAAAAUCUAUUAAGUAUUUCCAAACUCACAUCUGAUAAUCCUGUAUAUGUUGAAUUCUGUGGAAAUGUUUGUUUUGUGAAGGACAUGAAAGGUCAAGUUCUUCUGCAGGGUAUUGCUGAAAAAGGCCUUUACAAGCUGCUGCUGAACUCCAAUUCUCUUUCUUCAUCACCUACAUCCUAUCUUUGUAAAUCCCAGCCAAAUAAACCAGUUUCUAUGUUAUCUGCUUUCAAACACUGUGAUAAUGGUACUCGAGCUUGCUAUCAGUCUGUUUUAAAUAAGUGUAAUGCCAAACCUGAUAUAAUAACUUUGUUACAUAGAAAGUUUGGUCAUCCAAGCUCAAUGACAUUGGUGCAUUUGCUUAAAUCAUGUAAACAAUUUAAAGUCUCUUCAAAAGACAUGUUAUCUUCUGCAAAUACUUUAUGUGAAGCAUGUCAGCUAGGCAAAGUCCAUAAGCAACAUUUCUCAAUAACCGAAACAAAAACAAAAGGGGUAUUAGAAUUGAUCCAUACUGAUCUUUGGGGGCCUUCACCCACUAUGUCUAGAGAUGGAUACCAAUACUACAUUAGUUUUGUGGAUGAUUAUACUAGGUACUCUUGGAUCUAUCCUCUUAAGCUCAAAUCACAAGCAUUUGAAGUUUUUAAAUUGUUCAAAACUCAAGUUGAGAAUCAAUUUGAUACCAAAAUUAAGAUGCUACAAUCUGAUCUUGGGGGAGAGUUUAGAGUGUUUACUGAUUUUCUUAAUCAAAAUCGAAUAAUUUUUAGACACUCAUGUCCUUACACCCAUCACCAGAAUGGUCUUGUUGAGAGGAAACACAGGCAUAUAGUUGAGCUAGGCUUAACUCUCAUGGCUCAAGCAAACCUUCCUCUUCAAUUCUGGUGGGAAGCUGUUCAUACAGCAGUGUAUCAUAUUAACAGAUUGCCUACCCCUGUUAUGAAAUUCUUAUCUCCUUAUGAGAAACUUUUCAAACACAAACCAGAUUACACAUUCCUGAAGUGUUUUGGUUGUCUUUGCUAUCCAUACUUGGGAGAUUUUAACAAACAUAAGUUUGAUUUUCACACUUCUAAAUGCAUCUUUAUUGGAUACAAUCCCUCUUACAAAGGAUACAAGUGCUUAGCAAGUUCUGGUAAAGUCUAUGUUCUUAGACAUGUUAUUUUUUAUGAAAACACAUUCCCUUAUCCAAUAAACACUACAUCUCACUCAUCAGAAAACCCCAUAUCUUCUUAAACCUCAGUGUCUAAUUUCUCUCAACAACAUAUCUAUCAUCUUUCUACAAUGGCCUUACCCAACAGCAGCUUUGAAGGUCUUCAGUCAGCAGGCUCAGCAAGAAAUGAACAAAUUCCCUUUGUUCCCACACAUACAAAUAUUCUGAAUCAACAAGAACAUCCAUCACACACAUCUUUAGAGUUAUCAUCCUCAACCUCACCAUCACCAAACACAUUACCACUACAAUCAUCCAUUCUACAACCAGAGGAAAUUUCUAUUCCACAGAACACAGACCAAAUUCAAACCAGAAGUCAUUCUCAACCAUCUUCUCAUCCAAUGAUUACAAGAUCAAAAUCUGGAAUCUUCAAACCAAAGGUUUAUACAGUCACCUUAGCCAACAAAGAACUAAUACAGUUCAAGAAGCUCUUAGCAGUCAGAAUUGGCAUCAGGCCAUGGUAGAUGAGUAUGAAGCUUUGAUAAAGAAUGAGACUUGGUCACUAGUACCAUUUUCAAAUGCAUACAAAGUAGUUGACAACAAAUGGGUGUUUAGACUCAAGCAAAAUACUGAUGGAAGCAUAGCCAAACACAAGGCCAGGUUGGUUGCCAAAGGUUUUCAGCAAAUUGAAGGUGUAGAUUACUUUGAGACUUUUAGCCCAGUUGUAAAAGCUUCAACAGUAAGGAUUGUUUUGAGUUUAGCUGUGAUGCAUAAAUGGAAAAUAAGGCAAGUGGAUGUGAAUAAUGCCUUUUUGAAUGGAGAAUUGACAGAAGAUUUCUAUAUGGAUCAGCUUGAAGGUUUUAUUGAUCAACAAAAACCCAAUCAUAUAUGUAAGCUGAAGAAGGCCUUGUAUGGCUUGAAGCAAGCUCCUAGAGCUUGGUAUGACAAGCUUAAGAAUUGUCUGAUUGCUACUUGGAAAUUUCAGAAUUCAAAGGCUGAUACCUCUCUCUUUUUCAAAGAAGUGCAAGGCUCAAUGACACUUAUCGUAAUCUAUGUUGAUGACAUUCUAAUAACAGGACAUGUUAAUGAUGAGCUGGAAAAAUUCAUCUCAGAAUUCAGUAAGACUUUUGCCUUAAAAGACUUGGGAAUUCUAUCAUAUUUUCUGGGGAUAGAAGUUUCCUAUGUUGAAGACUGCAUCUAUCUAUCUCAGAAGAAAUAUAUCUUGGAUUUGUUAUCCAAAGCUGAUAUGCAGAAUUGUAAAGGCUGUGACACUCCCAUAGUUACUGGAUCAAAGCUUCAGAAAGAGGUCAAAGGCUGUUUGGCUCAAUAUAUUGAGGAUGCAACAAGCUAUAGAAGCUUAGUUGGAGGUUUACAAUAUCUGGUAUUAACCAGACCAGAGAUAACAUUUGUUGUGCAUAAGUUGAGCCAAUAUGUGACAGCUCCAACACUCCAGCAUGUUAUGGCUUGUAAAAGAGUUCUCAGAUACCUUAAGGAAACUAUAGAUUAUGGUUUGAAGUUUUCAGCAGGUGGGGAAAUGAAGAUCACAGGAUUUACAGAUGCAGAUUGGGCAUGUGAUGUUGAUGACAGAAAAUCAAUAGGAGCAUAUUGCAUCUAUUUUGGAAACAAUCUAAUUUUAUGGUCAUCCAAGAAGCAGGCUGUGGUUACACGAUCCAGUGCAAAGAGUGAAUAUCGUGCUCUGGCUUCUGCAAGUGCAGAGAUAACAUGGAUCCAGUCAUUAUUCAGUGAACUUAGCAUUAAGUGUACUUCAUUACCAACUAUCUGGUGUGAUAAUAUAAGUGCAACAGAGUUAGCUAAGAAUCCAGUUUAUCAUUCAAGGACUAAACACAUUGAACUAGACAUGCACUUUAUUAGAGACAAAGUUUUGGCAAAGGAGUUGGAGAUUAACUAUAUUCCCAACGAGGAGCAAAUUGUUGAUGCUUUGACAAAGCCUCUGACAUUCAUUCACUUCAAUUAUUUCAGGGCCAAACUCAAUGUGCAACCAUGCCCUUGAGUUUGAGGGGGGCUGUCAAGGAAGCUCAUAAUGCAUGGAAGGAUGCAGCACACGUGUGAGAUGAAUGCAGUCAGCUGAAUCAAUUGAAGAGUGAAGUGCCAGCUCAGCUGAAGUUAAUUAGACACGUUUAGAUCAUAUUCAGUUAGUUUCUUCAUUUUCUGUUAAGCUGUAAACAACUGAGUAUAAAUACAAGCAUCUUGUAAUCAUUGAAGUUUUAAGCAAAAUAAAAUAAAGCAUUUGAUUUCAGAAGUCUUUUACAAUUUUCUCAGCACUUGAAAAUACAUUUUUUCAGUAACCAAACAAUUUGUUCAUUCAAGCUUUUAAGCUUUCAAACGGGCAGGAAGUAAGGAAACCUGCAUAAAUUUGUUUUUCAGAAUACCAUCAUUUUGAAAGUACUACAGAAAAAGAAAAGGCUAAUGGCAGUAAAAAUUCACUUACUUUCCAAACAUAGAUUCUUUGGAAAAUGCCUUUGGAUAUUUCUCUGCUGGCUAGAUUGCAAAAUUAUCCACGAAUAUAUAUAAGAACAAUAUUUAUCAAGCCAAACUACUAAAAAUUCAAAAAAAAAUGCCCAUAAUAAUCAAGUAAAAAUUGCAGAACCCGGGCCAGAAAGCCACCCACUGCAGGGCCAAUAAUCAAUCCUGUGCCCCAUGCUGUACUGAGCUGAAAUUAUAUUGUACCUAAAAAUGUAACUUUUAGAGUCUCUAGCCACUGAUGAGGACACGUCUUUUGUCUGCUAGCGGAAAGCGCGUGACGGCAUGUUUUUUGUCAGAGCCUAGAGACGAAGAGGGAAGGAAAAAAAAAUAUCAUUAAUUUUUUUUCCUCUCUCGGUGGGCCCCACGUAAGGUGGGGCUUUGGUUUUUGUCGCAUUCUGUGGAGGGUGUAUAUCUAAAUCAACCCCUUGAAUACGGACACGUGUCGAUCUCAGAGAAACUCACGUUUUGUUGUUGGGACCCAUUAAUUCCCGUAAAAGUCCUAUUCUUAAAACAAGUCGAUACGAUGAUCAAUACUCCGCCUGUGGGUCCCGGCGACGACCCCCUACGCUGGGCAGUACAACACUCAAAAAUCGCCACGUGUUAUAUUUUAAAAAGCUUUGGGGGAGCGAAUCGAUAGAUUUUUUCUUUUCGUGACAAAGCACGCGGGGGGGGGGGCCUCCCUGGUGGAUUUGCCCGCCGUUGAUCAAUUUGUUUGAUGAUAAAGAUUCAAGCAAUCAUACACGAACUUGAUUCAAUGGAGCUUCAAAAGAUUGGCAUUGCAGUGAAGUCCUGAGUCUUCUACUCAUCUUUUAACAACCUUUGCAGAAGCACAACAACAGGGACAAAUUCUGCAUAAUCGGGAAAAGAAAAAUCAGAAGACGUCAUAUUGAAAUGCAUUCAUAUUAAUUUGACAAGAAGAGAAUCAAACGCAGACCUCGUUAAAAAUCUUGUAUGCAUACGCAUAUAAGAGAAGUUCAAUAAUUGCGACGCAGGAUCAUUGCCGAAGCAUUAAACAAAUACGAGGCAGAGAAAGAGGAGCUCUGAGGAAGAGCGUGUUAGUGUGGUAAUACAAUAUCCUCGAUGCUUGCUGAAUGGUGGACAGUGGCGUUGGAAUAUCAUCUAAUAAAAGGAGAGAAAGAGGUGGCAACUGGCAAAGUGGGUGAGUGAAAGUUCAAGGCUGAAGCGGUUGGCUAAACUUUGUUAAAAAGAUGCACAUAUUGAUAAUAAUAUACGACCGUACGUUGUCUGUUAACUUGGAACUCUUUAGCAUUUAAGCGAGUCUCUCUCUCUCUCUCUCUCUCUCUCUCUCUACGAUUGGGAAUUGGGAUUUCGGAUCGGGAUCUACCGUAUUCUCCGUCUAUCCUAUGCAUGUCAUCAUACAUCAGUAAGCGUGCGUGCCUCUGCGUCUCCCCCUCUCCUUUUUACACAACUAUUUACCGUUACUAUUUCUUUGUCAAUUCCCUUAUUUCGUGGUACUUGUAAUAAGACGAAAUUAACAAAGGAAGAAAAUGCUAAGGUACUUCAUUAGGCACAUUUCUCAUGCGUACUUGAAAGUAAUCAGAACCGUUGAUCUUUCCCCGAUGGGCCACCCACUGCAGGGCCAGUAAAAUUUUCUCAAGACCUUUGCAAUCAUACACGAACUUUGCAAUCAUACAUUCCUAAAGUUUGGUGUUUAUGGCGCAAUAUUUCACAUGCAUAUGCCUGGUGUAAGAGAAGUUUGAGCACAAAUAUUUGCAAGAAUUAAAUUGGAAUUAUCAACAAAUACCCCAAUCAAUACCUUUAUUGCUCCAAGUAAACCAUUCAAAGCCCCAAGGAGAAACCUUGUAGCUAUGGCCAUCCAGAAAUUCACACUAAGCCCAAAGAGAGUGUUAAAAAUAACCCUGUGAGCAUUUUAAGACAAAUAAGAAACCCAGAAAUUGCCAACGUAUCAUCAAUUUCAAGCUUAAUCAUUUGAAAAUAGAGGUCACUAACAAUGUGAUGCAUCCUAUUAUUAUUACAGGCUUUCGACCGAAGCGGUCAGCUCCCAUUCCCCACAAAAAAGAUGUUAAAGCUCUGCCAAGCAUGUAUGAAGACCCUUCAAUUUCAUCAAGGUAUUAAGAGGUUUGUCAGGAUGGCUUCUUGAGGAAUUUGAAAUGUUACAUACAUAUAUGUUAAUUAUUUGUCAGGAUGGCUUCAAUUUCAUCAAGGUAUAAAGGCGCAAGUCUGCAGUGUAAAACCCUUGUACAGUACCUUUACAGUGUCGUAAAGCCCUCGGUAGAAUGUUUUUACAGAGUUGUAAAGGCGCGAGUCUGCACAUUUGUACCAAAAAAGGACUCCAUACCAUGUGUCAUUUAUUAAACACAAUAAAAUUAUAAAAAUACAUAAAUUAACUCACCCACGUAACCAGCAUAGAAUCCAAUAUCUUCCUCCCUUUUUGCAAUGUGAAAAUCCCUAAUCUGAAAAGAAAUCAUAACAUACUGUUGUGAAAAAGCAAUGAAUUGUUUGAUAGAUAAAACUUGUCUUUUCUUAUAUUUCUAAGAAAAUCAGCAAGCAUGAUAGAAAAAUAUAAAUUUUCUCACUAGUAACUACUCUGGUGAAGGCAACAACAGUCCACUCACCAUAAAAUAAAGAAAGGGAAAGAGAGAUGCGACCGGCAGAACUGAAAAAAAAAAAAUCACCAAAGAAUUAAGGACAAAACUAGAAGAGCACAAUAGGCCAAAAUCAUUGUAAAUGGUUCUCUCAAAAAUCAUUAUAUCGAGUUGAAGUUGAAAAAUUUACCAGUUGCAAGCACAACAAUCUAAAUUAUAAAAAGCUUGCGAAUUGGUAAGCCUCGUUCCGACUCUUUAAGCUUAUCAACCUUACAGCCUGAGCAGUUCUCAUAAUAUUUCUUCUUCAGCAGCGGCUCUCUCACUUUCGCCUCCGCCAUACUUGAAAAAUUUUCAGCUCAAGUAAUCGUCUUAGUCUAUGCAAUCCAAUUUCAAUGCCUAAAUAUAAGUACUAGAAAAUAAGUAACAAAAUCAAUAUGCUUAAGGAUAUAGUAGAACUAUAUAAGUGAUCAUUUAAAGAAUUUUCAAUAGAAUUGUAAAAUCAGUUGAUUUUGCAGCUGGGUCUGUCACCACCAUGGUAAUUAAAAUUAUUGGAUCCCAUGUAAAACAAAAUUUUUUCAUUACAUGCCCUCAUUGCUGACGUCCAAUUAAUCAUUACUCUUGUGAGAAUAAUUUUUGGUGACAAGAACGGCGGCAUCCUAGGACGUGACAAAAUAGUCACAAAAAUCCCUUAUUUUAAAAAAUGAUCAUGAAAAUUUAUCCACGGACACACAAAUUCAGGAUCUAUGUAACUAUUUUUAAAUACAAAAAGAGGUCUAUAUAUAUAUUUGAAAAUAAGGGAUAUUCAUGAUUACCAUGUUAAGCCACGAGAUGUCGUGCUGUUUUUUUAUUUUUCAUUAAAUCGUUGUUACACAAUUCGACAUGUAAAAGUAAUUUUUUUUUUUUGAGAGAUGGUAACAAACAUAGUGACAAAACUAUCAAAGUACCGUCUAAUGAUGAAACUAAUUGUUAAUUAAUUAAUAAAAAUACUAAGGUGACGUUUGUUUUUUAACUUAAUGACUUAAAGUGACUUAACUUAAUUAAUUAAGUUAAUUAGAGGUGUUUGUUUUUAUAACUUAAUGAGACUUUUUAGAUAAUUUUGACUUAAUAAAAUAAGCCAAUUUUUUUAGUUUUUUACUUAAUGGAGAAAUUUGAAUUAAGUCAAUUACUUACUAAUGUCAAAAAUAUCCAUGUUUUAUAAUUUAUUUUUCAUGUCUAUCCCAAAACUCACCCAUAGACAUUUAUCCCACAUAAAAAUAUCCUUGUUUUUUCUUUCUUAUAUUAUAUAUGAUAAAAUUUAAAAUUUAUGGUAUUUUAUAUAUAUAAAUUCCAAAAUAAUUAUGUAUUCACUUGAAUAUAGUUUUACUUAUAAAUGUUAAAAUAUUGUGGUAUUUAAUAUAUUAUUUAUUUGACUUUCAAAUUUAAUAAGGAUACAAAAGUAAAAGUACAUAUUUUCAGUUGAAAAAAACAAACAACUUAAUACUUAUUUUCUGAGAUUCAGACGAAAAAACAAACAUGUUAUUUAGAUUCAGACAUUCAGAUCUAUUCAGAAUUCAGACUAAUUCAGGUCUAUUCAGAUUUCAGACAAAAAAACAAACGCCACCUAAGUGAUUGUAGCAGUUCCGGUCACAGUCACAGUCAAAUACAAUUAGGAUAAUUUAAUUUAAAUAAUGUGUAAUUUAGCGUUAGCCCCAAUUGUUUUGACAUUUUGCAUUGUGCCCCCCAAUCUUCCGACCAUGUCCACCACCCUCAUUUCUUUCAAAUCUAAUGUUAACGGAAAGAGGGGUAGAAUGGUAAUUAACACAAAAUUAAAAUAAUAUAUAUAAUUAAAAAAAAAACCCUUUUUUCCUUCGCCGCCUCUAUAAUUUAAUUUUGGGUUUGAUAUCUUUAGUUUUAAGAUUUUUGAUUAUUGAGUUUCUUUUUAUCGAAUUUUCUUAGUAUGAAUUUAUUUUGUAAUAGAAUUUUACAAUGAAAUUUGCUCUCAGGGAUUUUGGUAUCAUUAGUUUAGGGUUUCUUUCUAUUGGGUUUUAUUUAUUUUGGUGGGAUUAUUGGACUUAUUUUGUAAUGUACUGAUGAAUGUGUGUUUGAUUUUUUUCUUUCACAUUGGAAUCAUGCUUUGCCUCUGAUUUUGUAAUUUACUAGGUUAUAAUCUUGGGUUCGUAAUCCGGAAAAAAAUUGUUUCCAUAUAAUUUUAAAAAUAUUAUAAUAAAUUUUUACUUUUUGAUUUAAAUUUUAUUAGUUGUAAGGGUAUUUUAGUACUUAUAUACCCAAUUCAUUUCAAAACAGGGGGUAGUAUAGUCUUUUAAAUUUAUAACAGCCUAAAUAGUUAGAUUAGUUGAUUUUUUAAUAGAAAUAGGGGGAGGUGCACAUGGUCAAAAGAUGUGGGUGCGCUGUGUGAAAUACUGAACAAUUGGGGGCUGAUACUUAAUUAUCCUUAAAUAAAUUAUUAGUUUAAUGGAAGGAACAAAAUUCAGGAAAAGAGGAAUCAAACUGCAAAAGGAAUUAGGAUACCUGAAAAGAAAGAAUGAAAAUAACUUUUUUUUAAAAUUAUUUAUUUGGACAUUGUGACAAACAAGUGAUGUGCAUUGUUAAUUCUGAUUACCCCAAAAUGUCGAGUCUUUAAAAACGACAACAUUACAUGAUUCAUGAGAAUCCUAUCACUUUGAGAUUAAUUUAAUUAAAAAAAAGUUCCGUUUGCUUAAUACUAAAAUGUCACACUGAUCCAUAGUUGAGCCAAUUAUCUAGUUAAAAGCUACCUCCAUAUUUUUUAUUUUUACCCUAAUGCAUGUUUGAUUCUUUUAAAAUUUUACGUUAUAUAUAUUAAACAAAAAUUAUAAUUUUAAUCAUUGGAAAAUUAAUGACAGACAUCUUUUGAAUAAUUUUUUUUUUUGAAAAAUACAGAGCUAGAGAUAAUGCUAUAAUUGAUUGAAUAAGAAGGCUACAACUUGAUGAUAACCUUAUUGCAAUGUUGCGUGAUCUCAAUAUAUUAUUGGCUUUUGUGUGAGUAAAAGUUGCUGGCUCGUGUUUUACUAAUUUGCCUUUGUAUUUGACUGGCUCGACAAAGAAUCGAUUUACCUCAUACUCAAAUUACAAACAUCAAAACCGGAUCUGUCAUUACGUUAAUUGGCCUCCUAAAAUAAUCAAUCACUUUCUCUUUAGUCUACCAUCCACUCUUUCCAGUCGUUAAUUAUUCUGUACCCAUCAGCUCUUUUAGCUCUUUACGUCGUGAUAGAAACCCUUUUCUUGUUUCCUUCAUCUCAUCUGAAAAACACAAUUGCUUGUCCUAUCGCUGUCUCUUUGUUUUUACUUUCGUUUGGCCUUCUUCGCUUCUACGUUUUUGUCAGGCUUCGAGAUGCUGGAAAUCAUUGUGACUAUCGUCUUGGAACUUGUAAAAUGCUUGGCUCCUCCAACUGCACGCCAACUUGUUUAUUUGCGAAAACGGAACUACAAUGCCAACUUUGAGAAUAUCAAGGCGGAAAUGGAGAAGUUGAAGGUUGAACGUACGAGCAUUCAGCGCAGGGUUUCAGAGGCGAAAGAAAAAGGGAAAGAGAUUGAAGAGAAGGUUGAAAAGUGGCUGGUUAGUGCGAAGUGCGAACGGCAUCAUUGACCGGGCAGCCAAAUUCAUUGAAGAUGAGGAGUCAACGAAUAAGCGCUGUGUGAAGGGCUUGAGUCCUAUUUGGAAGAGUCGCUAUCAGCUUAGCAAGAAAGCAAAGACGGAGGUGAAGGCCAUUAUUGAACUUGGAGAAGAAGUUAAGAAGUUUGAUACUGUUUCCCACCGUACCAUUCGGGAGGAGAUAUGGUUACGAGGCCUUCGAAUCAAGACUUCCUACUUUGCAGUCUAUAAAAAAUGCAUUGACGGAGGCGAAUGUCAGCAUUAUUGGGGUGUACGGCAUAGGCGGCAUUGGAAAGACCACACUGGUGAAGGAGUUUGCUAGGCAAGCCAGGGAAAAGAAGCUGUUGUAUCGGGUGGUUUUAUCAGAGGUUUCAUAAACUCCAGAGAUAAAAAAGAUUCAAGGGGAAAUUGCAGAGAAGUUAGGUCUGGAGUUGUCCGAUGAAGCUGAAUAUAGAAGAGCUAGCAAGCUGUAUGACCGAUUGAAGAGUGAGAAUAAGAUUCUUGUGAUUCUAGAUAAUAUCUGGAAACAUCUUGAAUUGGAGACGGUUGGAAUUCCUUUUGGAAAUAAUCAUAAAGGAUGUAGAUUGUUGCUGACAGCACGAGAUAAUACUGUGCUUUUAAGUAUGGGCUCCAAAGAUAACUUUUUGAUUGGCAAUCUAACUGAACAAGAAGCCUGGAGAUUGUUUAAGAUAAUGAAUGGUGAAGAUGUUGAAAAUUGUAAGUUCAAGUCUACAGCAAUUAAUGUAGUUAAGGCAUGUGGAGGUUUGCCCAUUGCGUUGAGGGCACUGAGAAACAAGAGUCUCCAUGAAUGGAAGAAUGCCUUGCGAGAGCUCCGAACGCCUUCAAUGGUAAACUUCGAAGGUGUGUCUGCAGAGACUUAUUCAAGUAUUGAGCUGAGUUUCAAUUAUUUAAGGGAAAUUAUCAUUUGUAUACCCUUAGUUUACUCCAUUAUCAAAAAUACUACAAUACUUUGAGGGUGUAUCAAUUGUCCACCCUAAGUUGACAAAAUGUAUCAGCUGACCACCAAACCGUUAGUUGCCGUUUAAGUAUGAUGACGUCAGAAGGGUAAUUUGGUCUUUUCAUAUGAUACAAGUGAUAAUUUAAGGGUAUAUAAGUGAUAAAAAGAGAAUUUAAGGGUAUACAAGUGAUAAUUUUCAAGGGUAAGAUUGUCAAUUCACUGUAACUCCGUUAACUUUCAAACGGCAACUAACGGUUUGGUGGUCGGCUGAUACAUUUUGUCAACUAAGGGUGGACGAUUGAUACACCCUCAAAGUGUUGUAAUAUUUUUGAUAAUAGAGCAAAUAUAGGGUAUAUGAAUGAUAAUUUCCCAUUAUUUAAAAGGUGAGCAAGUCAAGAAAAAUUUUCUGCUUUGUCGUCUAGUAGGUAACAGUGUUUGGUUUUCAGACUUAUUUAGAUACUCCAUGGGUUUGGGCAUAUUUCAAGGAGUCAACAUUCCCUUCAUAUUUACCAAAGGUAAGUGAUAAAUCCUACAUAUCCCACUCAAGAAUGCAUAAGUUUCUUCAAUCUCAAGUACCUAAAGUUUUCUUCUACGUUUAUAAAAAUUUCAGCACCAUCUCCCUAUAAUUCUCCAAGCUCACGACAUAGCUAUAUAAGUGUUUAUGUGUUAUGCCAAAACAACACAUGACACCCGUUCACCUAGAACGUACCCAGAGAACACGAGGAGCAGCUACUGAAAAAGCCAUAUUUAUGUGGAAAGAAAACUUCAGCUACUAGCUACCAGAGAGAACUAUGCAUUCCCAAACUGUCCAAGCCUGGACAAUUCAAGAAUUAUUAAUAGACAUAUGAUCCUCACUAUCAUCCAAAGAUGACACUAAUACAACAUGUGUCUAUUAAUAAUUUCUUAAACAAGUCUAAGCUUUCAAUGCACGUAUCAAAAGUUUAAAAUUGAAUCUGAAAUUUGAAUAACACAUAAAUAUCAUAAAUCUCUUCAAUUUAUUCCUGAAACAAUGUAGCAUUAUUUCACACGUCAUUUCUUAAGCAAAACCAUAAAAAAUACAAACGAUAAAUACAUUUUCCCACUGAUGCAGAUUAUGUUUACUGAGUAAUAAGUUUUAUGUCAUUCAUGUUGAAAUACUUCUGCCUAUUCUUUCAACAUAUAACUAGUACGUACACACAAUUAAUAAAUUUAAAAAAAAAAACUGGUGGUGAAUCUUGCAAAAUCUUCCUUUUUUCUUUUUUUUUUCUUUUUCUUCUUUUUUUUGGGGGGGGGGGGUGUGUUGGGGGAACUAUGAAUCUUGCAAAUCCUCAAGAAGCCAUGUUAAGACAAGGCCAGCUUACUAUUAGGGUAUGAAAGAUAAAACCUUUUAUUUCCUUUUCAGAAUAAAAAGGACAUUGACAGUGUUAAAAAAAAUCUAGAGGAUUUCAGGCCUCCAGAUCCUUACAAAUCAAGGAUAUUAAAAAAAAUUACUUAAGAGGAGAAAGGUUAUGCUCAUUUGUAUCUUGUUAGAAGAAAUUGAUCCAAAGCCUCAGUUUUAAUUUGCUUCAUAUAGCCAAUGACUAGGUGUUUAAAAACCAAUGAAUAUUUUUAUAAGAAAUCAACAAUAUUAUUGAAAGAAAAACCAAAUAAAAAUAAUAAAGCCAAUGAAUAGAUCAAGGCUCUUUGUGGUCUAAAACUAAUCAAACUAAGUUGUGGGCAAAGGCGAAUAUGUUUGUUUGGUCAAUAAUAAGCUCAACAAAUCACUAAUAAUCACCUAAUCACUAUUCCUUAUGCUAUGCAAUAUAAUGGCCUGGGUAAUGGCGCCAAGGCAGACAAUAAGUAGCUAGCCAGUUAUGAUAGUUGAUUAACUUAACCUACUGGAAAUCUGAAGACCAAAACGAAGAAGCUUUGUCUAGAACUAGAAUAGGAACGUUCGUACCCAAAACUAAUAUACACAAUUAAGAAACUUGAUUAUAUGUAUAUUUCUGUUGGCCACACUUAAAGAGAAUUUCCAAAAGAUGCUAAGGUACACCAAAUCCCACUAUUUCAUACUCAUAAACACAAAAAACCAUGGUAAAAAUUAAUGACUAUAUCAAAUAAAAUCGGUGAUAGGACGUUGAGAUUAGGACAACUUGAUUUGUAUACCGUAAAAUAACUAUAUCUGCAUGGUGAACUAUAUUUCUGUUAGAACUCUGAAGUUUUCUAUUAAAUUUUUUUCUCUGUUAGGUAAACCACUUAACUGAAGUGCUUAAGCCAAUUUUGACAAUCAUAGACAUAAAAGUAUUAAUAGGCUCAUUCAAGUGAAAUGAGCAUUAUUUCACACAUCCUUUAGGUUUUUAAGUCAUUUAGAAGUCAUUCAUGUUAAAAAAAAAAAAUUCAUAUACUUUCAAUAUAAUUAGAACAUACACAAUUAAUUAAUUAAAUAAAUCUGUUUCAGCUAGUAUAGGAACUUAAUUAAUCAAAGCUAGUAGUUAUAGCUAGGACUUGAACGAGGCACCUUUCAAAGUUCAAGAAGAGCAUCUGAACAUAAUGAAAGCACUUUCUAGAUAUGGUAAUGAUGCUUUACAUCUACAUGCUCUUACACAAUAUGAACUUUCAUUUACUCCAAGCUCUUAUUCUACAAGUCAAUUCAGUUUGUAGAUGCAAGCCAUUGUAAAAACUUUUGUAUUAUAAUUUCUGAAAAUAGAACGUAACAUUAUUAAUAUAGAAUCAGCAAUGUAUAUAACUUAUCAGACAAUAUAACAAGCACUUGGUGAGCAUACAAGAUAAACUAAAAUUUAAUAAUAUGUGGAAUUAAAGAUAAACUAAAAUUUAUGUUUAAACAUAAAUUUAAAGCAAAUCGAAUUGCAAAACAUUAGAAUGGAUGUUGGAAUUAAAGCUAAAUUCAAUAGUAAUUCAAAUGAAUCCAUUUGAACUUUGUAAAUUCCGCAGAACAAAAUUAAUUUGAGUGAGCAAACUCACCAAUGGAACAAGAACACAGGGGCUUCAACUUGUAGGAAUAAAAAAAUAUUGCUGGCGGGACAAAAAUUGACAAUAACGGCUACAAUACGAAUUAAAAAAAAAAUCAAAAUCUAUAAUUACAAGCUAAGUAAGAGAAGAAACUCAUAAUCACAAGCUUACCUCAAAAGAUGAAGGGAGAAUACGAUGAAGAAGAAGAUGCCCGGUGUUUUACGCCGUUCGCCGGCAACCAGUUAGGUUUACGAUGGUGGCUAGUCCAGCGAAUAGUUUUCUAACUGGAAAUAAAUUUAAAUUUCUAAAAUAGUACUAUACCGAACGGCUCUUCACCGUC
rnacentral:lncRNA from 1 species